rnacentral:lncRNA from 1 species
UUCUAGGAUAUUCUGUAUCUUUCUAGAUAUUCUUUAUGUGUGCAUUGGCCUUAUGCCAAUAGGAUAUGUAGUUAGACUAAUUCUAUGUAUUCAUAUCCUUACCAUAUUGGUAUUGUGUAAUUCCCUAUAUAAAGGGCUCAUAUCAAUGAAUAAGAUGAUGAUUCUCUUGCUAUCUCUUUCUCUACACUUUAUAUUUCAUCACGUUAUCAUGCACUUUGUUAUAACCCUAGAGCCAAUAGCCCACCAUUUGUUUUCCAAACCCUAAAAUCUGACAGCCUUGUUUUUCCUGAUUUCCGACCAAAAUUCCGACUGCCCUCUGCCGGAGUUUUAUAUCCCCAGAAAGCUCUCUCCGUCCUGGAUCCAACGCCGCCGGCCUCACCCUGAGAACCGGCCGGAAAGUCUUCGAACCGGCCGCUAGAAGAUUCCAGACCGCCGCCGCUACCGACCACCGGUUCACCACCUUCCCUUGCUCCGAUCAACCUGAAAUUUUGACAGCAGCUUCCCCAUCCAGAGCUGCUCAUUCUGUCAAAUUUUCAGCCCCAAAUUCGAAGUAUAAGUAGGCGAAACGUUAUUUCUCCUCUCGGCAGCCUCUAGAAACCAAAGAUUUCAAGAUUGGUCGUCUUCCAAGGAAACCAGAAAGGUAUGUUUUGAAACCUUAAACUUUUCCAAGUUCAAUAACUCGGGGAGGAUAAAAUCUUUUCCGCCCUUCUCUAUCUCCAUUCUAUGCUUGGGAUUUUGUGUGUGCAGGUACCAAAAAUCCCGGAAUUUUAUUCGCGGGUCAAGAGUGUAUUUGAUCACUCUUGCUUCCUUGUCCAGGUUGUGUAUGAUCAACCCCAACCUUUCUCCGGAUUGUGUUUGAUCAAUCCGAGGCCUUUUCCGAAUUGUGUUUGAUCAAUUCGCGACUUUUUCCGGAUUGUGUAUGAUCAAUCCGAAGGACAAACCAUUAAAAGCAUUGUUUGUGACCUCUAUCGAGUCUCAUAACAGCUUGGUUUUGUAUGCAAGAGCAACGUAACAUUCUGCUCAUUGAGUUUUGACGUACUCGAUACCUAAGACGAAUCUUCGCUUGGUAUCUGUGGAACAUUUCACUGGAAAGGAUUAAACAACAUAUUUUGACCCCCAGGCUAACAAGCCUAGAUGCCGAGAUUUCACAUCUCAUGCGCUCAAAGUCUUUGACGCGCCACAUCGACAAGCCUUCAAUGGCAAUCUGUGUAAAAAGUAAUGACCACAAAGUACUAUGGAAUGCACUCAUGGAGCGUUUCUUGAAACGUCCAUAUAACUCUACUUGUUGAGUUAUUAGUCAAGUGGAUUACUUACCGCCUUAAUUGACUACAUAUUGUCGAUGAUCAUUUGUGGCAUCAUGAUCCAUAACCUUUAGCGGAUUCGAUCAUCAUCAAGUUCUCUAGGUCCUCCAAGUUGGUUUGGAAUUACCAACGAGACUUGAUUUUGAUCAUACAAACGGGAAUUGUAUAUAUACGCUAAUGUGAUAAAUUUAUUUAGGAUUAUCCCCUAAAUGUGGGAACAACAAUAUGGGUCAUGACAACGGCAGAAAACGUCGUGCCGAUGUCUAGAAAAGAGGGGGAGGUGUCACCGGCUCUAAUAGCAACACUCCCGGUCUAGACACCAUUUUGUCAAAACUACUCACGUCAGCUCAUGACAACGCAACCAUUGUGGAUCUUCGGAUCACUGGUUCAAGAUUGUCAAGCUCCUUCAAAUUGUGAAUGCAUACAAAAAGGUAUAGAAAAUCAAUAUGAGGACAAGAACAUCAUCCUCAUGAUCGCGAAUUUCAAAGAUUCGGAUCCUGCUCUAGCUACCCAUGACUUUGACGUCAUCGACUAGACAUUGAUUUUCGUUCCAAGCUAUAUGUACUAAGGCGUUGAGACCUUGAUGUACUCACAUUAGCAAUAACGAAUGCCUUGAGAAUUUUUUCGAAGUUAUAAAACUAUUCUCCUCUUAUGGUUCGUAUUGAUUUACAAACAAGAUUUACAUUUUUACAUCGUCCUUAGAAGCAUGGCAUAUUUACAAUCUACAUGGUUAGAUUGUGCAGUUUUGGUCUCUUCCAAGUGGAGAUGACGCACGCCCUUGCAUCCUUAAGUAGGAUCGCUAACGUGUUUCCGGUUAAGUCUUCUACCCUAUAGCAGAUUUUUCAUCAUCAAUUGUUCAACUAGGCUCAUCCAAGCUCAGUGUGAUGUCUUAGAAUUGCCCGAAAUUAAGGAGAUAGUGGUUUCAAGUGUGCCUCGCACUACCGACCCUCCACGGACAUGCCUGGUCAUACUGACUUGGAGUUACCGAAAGCUUUUGAUUUUGGAUCCCCCUACGCUAUUAAACCAAUUGCCGUCUUGCAAAAGAUGUUGAAGACUUAUCAAAAACCGGAAAAUUAUCAUCAUGAUCUAAUCCUCUAGGUCCUCUGAGUUAGUUUAUGUUCAUGUCAGGGAGAUUUUGCUAACUAGUCAUGGAGUUUACGACCUUAGAAUGACCGAAAGGACUUUGUUUUGAUCAUACACACGUCACUUGUGGCUAAGGCAAAAUCCUACACGCCACUUGCAAGCUUCACAGCUUCGCACAUGCCAAUUCUGCGAAAAACAGCAAUCUGUCCCUUCUGGACAGUCAACUUCGUUUGCGUUUUGUGAACAGCUCCGGACGAACCAGACAAUAAGCUUUAUAUCAUUGGAAAGCUCUAUGAGUCUAGUUUUCAGAACUUUUCGCGGUUCAUCUAUAUCUAUUUUAACAAGGAAGUUAUGGCUGUUUUAGUGCGCAAAAGUCAUUCUGCGCGGAAAUUUUUAUGCACUCUCGGGAUUGCAGCUUUUCGUAGCUUCUUUCAAUCCUUCUAAAUAGUUCAAGUGGAACUAUUAACUAGCCUAUCUACUCCUUCUUGUAGAUAUGUCUCAUCGAGACAUUGAGUGCUUCGCAGAUAGUGGAACUAUCCAUAACAUUCUAAGGAACCGGCAACUAUCUUUGGAUUUUGUGUCUUUGUAAAUCUUCUGUGACUACAAUGAUUGAAUCAUACCGGUCAUUCAAGGACGCGGUUUAGCUUAAAUCUUGAUGCCUCAUGGAACCAUGAUCAAUGUCACAGAUACCCUCUAUGCAUUGAGAGGCAAUCGAACCAUAUUGAGCUCUAAAGACAUUCCUGCUAAUAGUUUUCAUUUGAAAACACAUUGUGAGAAUGAACAAGAAUUCUUUUGUGUAUACCUUCUCAUGAAUGCGGACUGAAGUGCAUCUUGGAGAAAUUCAUGAGUCAAUCUAGUGGACUGUAUGUCACUAUGAUUCGAAUAUGAUUCGAAUAUCGAAUCUCAUGUUGUCACCAAACAUGAUAUUUGGGACACUGACUCAUAUAGGCUUUGGUUUUAACCAAUUAAGGUCAUCCUAGAAGAGAUAUAAUGGUCCAAAUUUUGAGAAAUUCUCAUGGACAUCCAUUCUUCCGCUCAAAACAAAGACAUUCGAGAUCUAGCAUCACCAUGAAGCAUGGUGGUGACCCGGGGGACAUUGACGUCACCCGAACAAGGCUCCAACUUCCCGGAGGCCGUCCGGUCAAUUCCUCAAGCAACUGAGGUGCACCAGCCUUUCCUCGAUGUCGCAUUGGCCCCCUGCAAUGCUUAUUACUCGUUUUGAAAGCCUAUUAUUUAGCUAAAUUAGGAGUGAGACCCUCCUACGCUAAAUAACACAAAAGUGAACAUUCUAUUCUUACAUAAAAUUAUGUAGAUAGAUACAACCAACUUGCGAACAUCUUUUAUGUUUUAUGGUGUUGGUUGAAGUGUUAACACACUGGUCAUGUGUUACACUAUUAUCUACUGCUUAUGUUGCUUAUACUUCUACGGGCUCACUACCCAUUCUUUAAAGAAGUUUAUCGGGAUGUAAGUUGAAGUGUCCUGUACCCCAUGUUCACACGCAAUACGGUCUCACCGAGGCUACGACUAAGCAACUUUAGCUUGUCGCUCGAACAUUAUUGAUGCGCACCAAUCUUUCUAUUGCGUCUUGGGGCUAUACAAUAUUUGCAUGCAGCUUUACUAUUCAUCUACAACUCACCAUCAUUGAAUAUUUUUGUACUACAGCUCGUGACUGUGUACCAGGAUUGCAAUCCUUGAGCUCAAACAAGAUUGAAACGGAUCUCCAAUCCUUGAGCUCAGCUAGAUAUUUAUUCUAGGUGUCAAAUCGCACUGCCACUGAAGGACAAUGAUGGGUCAUUUGAGAUGAAUAAGUAUUUAGGUUGGAUAUGAAUCUCCACCUAUAAUCCGCAUAUGUAGAAACCUUGUCAGACGAUCUCUUUCACCGCUAUAUUGCGGAUUGUCACUUUGAUGAGACAAUAUUCUCGCCGUUAGGGGGAGAUAAGAGCACAAGUGUUCAAGUGGAACGACGUGAAUUGUCGUGGUUUGUCCCCACUAAGUCUCAUCUUGAUCCCAAAUGCUUAAAGUGUUAAAGUGACGAGAUCACAUGCAGCAAAUAUGUCUGUAAGGAUUGAUGUCCUUUUCAAAGGACAUGGCGCGACCAAAAGGUGUUGGUCUUGACGCCAUCACCAUGGAUGGUGAUAUAGUGACGCCAUAUAGUGGCAAAAUUGGUGUCACAAAGCCGUGUGGCUCCCUAAAAGGAAGGAGACCUUUAGGUUCGAUACUUUCUCGCACUAGAAAGAAAACGAGCUUGGCACAACCUGAUCCAUUGAUCAGUGAUACUCAAAUCCGUCUCAUGAAGUCUGAAUUGUGAUUAUCGUUGGGGGACGCCUCAACGUCAAAUCCAAUCCAUAUAGAGAUCUCUACACGUAUUACACUAGUGUACAUGAGGACGUGGGAUAAUGAGUCUACUAUCGAACCACCCUUCGUUGAUGGAUAUCAACUUAGUUGAUUGGCCUAAUGGAAAGAUGUGAUCCAGCAUAACAAAGAGAUAGGUCCUUGGGCAGGUGAUGCCGACACCGCAAGCUAAACCCUAUCAACUAUGCCUUUGUUAGAUAACGUAGUGAGAACAAGAGCUUAGACUCACCUUAUGACGCAAGGUAUCUCACUAACACGCACUGAGAUCGACUACGAUAAGAUAUGCUUUCGUAAUGGAUGUCAUUGAACUCCACUACUUUGUCAGUUUGGUAGUUUCCGAAUAACUGAACAAGCAGCCUAUGAAUGUGAUCGUAAUAACAUCUCUACGGGAUCAGAGAUAUGCAUGAAGGUCUUGAACAGACUUCAUUCAUCCAAAUCAAGUGGCUCCAGACCACAGGAGCAUGUGUUUGCUAAAUGUAUUGAAACGCACAUGGACUCCACUUGAUUUGGAAGGGAUAUGGUGAAUUAUGCAUUUGCGUGUUCAUUCAAGAUUUACAUGGACUCUUGAUGGAUCAAGAGAUGCCAAUAUGUAUCAACAUCCGAAGAAAAAGAUCUUGGGAAGACACGGUCUCGAUAAGACACUCGAUGACUGUAUUGAUGAUGAUUUUUCAUCAAUCGGCUUAGGUGCUCUAACGAAAGUGAGGCCUACAUAUACUCCCAUGAUUAGUCAAAGUCUUUACUCUAAAGAGAGAUCCGUUGUUUUGUCUAAAGCAUGAUGACAAAUAUGUGUUAAGAGAUGGAGUUCCCAUCUAAGUACAAUUAGACGCAUCAAUGUACUCAACACAAUAUGAAAGACUUGACAUCUCAUUCGCUAUGAAAAGUUGUAAAGCUAAGUAUAGUUAUGCGCCCACGUAACGCCAAUGUAAUGGCAGUAACUCUUUUUUCAAUACUUAAUGGUAUGAAAGGUUGAGGCUAAUUCUAUCCCUACAUAAGAAAGACACAUCAAUAGCGAAAUCAAAAUCUGCCAAGUUUCGUAGGUCAACUUCCACGGGACCUACAAGAAAUCUCACUCACUAGAAAAUGGUGAAAUUGGUACCAUUGGAAAGUUCUAUGUGUCUACUUUCCAGGGACACCAACCAUUUGUUCAUACCUAUCAUAUUGAGUGAGUUAUGGCCGUUUUCAUAAAGUAUGACGAAUCUGUCCGAGAAUCUGAUUUUGGCAAAACAGUCAACUUCGACGGGACUUUGUGAAUAGCUCCUGAUGAAUCAGAACAUGUGUAAUAUACAGUUGGAAAGCUAAAUGAGUCUAGUUUCCAAAACCGUUUACGGUUCAUUCAUAUGUAUUUCCUAGAGGAAGUUACGACUGUUCUAGUAACUGAAGGUCAUGCUGCGCGGAAAUCUGAUUUCCUGCACAAACUUAUGUUUUGAGUUCACAAGCGGCCUUCUCCUCAAGAUCUAAGUGUAAAAGAUCAUUUGAGGACAAUACGGCAUGAUUUAGUUAAUCAUUGCCUAAUGCCACAUUUGAAGACAUGUUAAAGAGCAUUGACAUGCUAAGUUGUUGAAAUUUCCGUGAUUAGUAAAAAUCAGGAAUAGCCCUAUGAUUGAUGUAAAGAUCAGGGGGAGGUGCAAACUUCAGGGGGAGUCUAGCACAUACAUACAUGUCACUAUCAAAUGUGAAUGGUGCGUUGUACUCUUUUUCUCCUACGAUCAAGGUUCAGUUUUUCUCCCACAUGGUUUUUGUGACUUGACGAGGUUUUUAACGAGGCAACAGAUCAGCACCAUCGGCAUAUCAGAGCGGCACAAGGGGGAGUGUUCUAGGAUAUUCUGUAUCUUUCUAGAUAUUUUUUAUGUGUGCCUUGGCCUUAUGCCAAUAGGAUAUGUAGUUAGACUAGAUCUAUGUAUUCAUAUCCUUACCAUAUUGGUAUUGUGUAAUUCCCUAUAUAAAGGGCUCAUAUCAAUGAAUAAGAUGAUGAUUCUCUUGCUAUCUCUUUCUCUACACUUUAUACUUCAUCAGAGAAUAAUGUUUUUCUUGAUUUUAUUGGACUAUGGGCGUUCUGGGAAAAUUGAGGAGGUGUAUAUAACAUUUUAGUUAUUUGUAAAAGUAAAUUUGAGGUCCAUUAAACAAGAAGAUCCAACAGCCGUUUUUAGAGAUAUAAAUAGAACCUCCCAUGACGGAAUGAUAUUACAGUGAAGUUGAAAAAAAAAAAAAAAGUCACAAUGUGCUUGACCUAUAUAUAUAUAUAUAUAUAUAUAUAUAUAANNNNNNNNNNNNNNNNNNNNAAAAAAAGUAAAAACUAACAUAUGNUNUACUACUAUAUAUAUAUAUAUAUAUAUAUAUAUAUAAACCAUACUUUCUUGUAUCAUCUUCAAAAAUAAGGUUCAAAUUAACAGCUAAACAAAACAUCGAUUAUCGUACGUUAAUGUUUCCUUUAGUUAUAGACUACUAGCAGAAAUCCGUAAUAUAUAUAGCUCCACAAUAACUAGUAGUGAAGUAUCUACGUGCAUGCAGAGCUAUCUAUUUGUUCUGUACAUGGGAAUGGUGGGUUUGGCUUUAUACCGAUAAAGAACUCUCCUGUCCUUGAAAUUCCAGUUCUCAAAGGUCACGAAUAUCUUCCCUGGUUCACUAAAGUAGAAGGAGUUUCUCACACUCUCUCCUUGCAGUCUCUUCUUGUCUUGGAUUAGAAUGUUGUACGACCCUUCAUCAUCAGGAAGGAACUCUUCCUUGUACAACACGUCCCAUCCCACCACAGUUAGAUCCCACACCAUUGUCAAUCCACCCUAAUCAAAUGAAAACACCCCAAAAAAUGAAAAUUAUUAGUUAACAACAAGAUUCAACUCAUCAUUCGAUUAAACACGCGAUUAAUGACGAGAAUUAGUACCUCAACAACUGGAAUUUCAAUAUAGUUGAUUGUGUUUGCUUUGAUUAUGAGCUCAGAUACUUUGUCCUCUGGUGUGAACUCAUCAUCUUGCUCUCUUUUGAGGCCACCAUAUUGAACUGGGAGUUCUUCUGGUUCUAUGAACCUUUUUUUUCAUAAUCAUUUCCAUGCAAAGUAACUUGUGUAUUAGAGACACGGAUGAGAUACUAAUGUAAUUGGAUAGUUUCAAUUUUUUGAGUAGUAAUCUCACUCACUUGAGAAGGGUCUUUGUAACCUUUUGGGAUCUAGCAAAGAUGAACGUCUUCUUAGUUCUGUGACUUAGAAACCUUGAUCGGAGCACAUGAGACACAUAAUACCAAAGUGGAGCAUUGAUAACAAUCUGCCAGUGGAAAGCAAGAAAUUAACAUAUACCACAUUGUAAUUAGCAAGUGCAGAGUUUUGCUACUUACAUUCUUUUGAAUGAGCUCAGGAUAGUUGUCCUGUAACAAGAGCAGAGUUUUGCUACUAAGCGAACGAAGCUCCUUAAAAUCGGGGCCUGGGGAAUCCUUCAAAUCCGUAAUCUGAACCAUCGAAUCAACCCCUCUCUUGAAGUUGAGCUUCUUGAUUCCCUUUUCAAUGAAUUGAACUCUCCACCUCAAAAACUGUUGGCGUCUUGCUUCAGACCCGAAUGUUUUCUUGUACAAGUCUUUGUCCUUGAAAGGUCCAUACGAAGUGUAACACAAAGGGUGGCCAUCUUUGUCUCUACUAUUUAUGCACACCACGUCUUCAAGACCAGAGACUCCUAAAUCUUCUUCCAGAAUUUCAUCAGUCCUGAAUUCUUUUCGCCAUUUCAGGGUUCUUUUCAGCAUUUCAAAUGCGUCGCUGGUCUUGUAAUCCCGGGCUUUCAAGAAUUUGAGGAGCAAAACAUCAGUGCCUUGAUGGCCUUUGCUUGGCAACAAAGGCACACCCCAUAGGGUAAUCUCCUUGAGUUGUUCUUUCUGCCUCAAGCUUUCAUUUCGGCUAAUCCUUCUGCUGGGUUUUCCGAGAAUGUAAUUCCCCAUAAUUGCAUCUUCAACUCUGCACCGGAAUUCCAUCAAGGCUUUCCUCUUCUUCUUCUUCAUUGACGCAGAAGCAGCUUUGGUUUCCUCAUCAUCCUCUAUAGCUCUACGUUCAACAUCUUCUUCAUCACUAUCCGGACAUAAUUCCCGGGGGCUUUCCAAGAUGUAGUCAUUAGGCUGAUCAUAAUUUCCCAGAGGCGAGUCAAGCUCUUGCUCUCUGCCCUGGUAAUUAGCUUCAUUUUUCAUUUUGGGUCUCCUGAUCAUUCAUCUCCCAUUGUCAAAUAUAGAGGAGAUUGAAAUCCCCGGCAUUCAGAGUUUCCGGGGAAACUGAAUAUUGGUGGUGCUCGGAUUCAAUGAUGGGGAGUUGAGAACGACGAACACAAAAAGUUUACAUCUUUCCUUUCUCUAUUACCUCAAGCUCAAGAAAGGCCUGGCGCCAAAUUUAGGUUGGACAAUCGUAGUAACUAACGGUGAGAUUGGAACAGGCUUUUUUACAAGUGUUUUAAACUUUUAUCCCCAAUUCAUCGGGCUUGGCUGGCAUACAAUUAGUGGUUGUUGUAAAUAGAUUAGGUUCCAAAUGCAAGUCAAAUUUAGUAUUUGAGUUUCAACACUAAACCCUUAAUCCAACUCGUUGCCUAACAAUGUGCAAGAAUCACUGUCCAAGUCAAAAUUUUGCCUUGCUGGGAUAAGGGAUCUAAGAACAUCUCCAAAAAAGAGAUAGAAAAACACAAUUGUACAAAAGCAACACCAUGGAAACGGUGUUAUGUCGUAAAGGUGCAACAAGUUAUUCAAGUUAUUAGAUUUGCAAAGGUCACCAUCUGUCCUCAAAAAAGGUCACAAACUGAUCUCCACUGUCCUGGUAUGGGAGGCAUUGACAAUAGAAUGAGAAGAACGAAAGAAAAGGGGAACAACUUACAAGCUAAUACUAAACAGAUGGUUGCUGGAGAAAGAAAAGAGACAAUGGCUGAGAUUAAUCCUCUACAUUCUGGGAAGUUCGAUGCAUUAUCUUGUCCUCCUUGACUAAUUCACAACCUGUAGCAGUGAUUUUUACAUCCUAAUACAGCGAAACCUAACUGCUGAUUUCCAUGCCUAUGAAAAGAAUGUAACCUGAACGGCCGUUGAAAUCUUGUAAUCAUAUUUACAGUGAAAUGGGAUGUGAAAUGAUUGAUCUGUAUCUAUAUAACAAGUCAUUAUCCAACUGCAGACUGGGAGCUGCUGCAUUACUCCUCUCGAAAUCUAGUCAAGUCAAAUGACAUGGUUUUGGAACAACUGCAAUAACAGCAGCACAAUUAGCGCGUUAAGAAACUAUAAUAUAAAUCCUCAAGAUAUAACCAUGUGACGUGCUCAAAUUCUUGUCUGAUGCUCACCUCAUGUCAGCGUCCCUGAAAACCCCAACCAGAGCUUCAGCCUUGUCAUAGAAGCUAUCUUUUAGAGAUAUUACAAUACUCUGAAAACCAUUGCCUCCUUCCGUAUCCUGGUUAACCCUGGCUCCUUGGCAAGACUUUGAACGGAUGAAUCGAGCAACUUUUGCUACAUUUAAGUUAUCCAGUGCAGCAUCAACUUCAUCCAGUAUGAAGAAAGGCGAAGGCCUAUAGCUGAAGCAUUCAUGAAAACAAAUGUGGAAAAACAAUUAAUUACAGGCUCUUAUCUACAGUGUAAAAGAGUAGAAACCAAAAACUAGAACAAAACUUUCGUAGUGGAACAGCGUACAUAUUGGUGAAAGGAAGACCAAAAGCCAGAAACUCCACAAUCCCCACCCAAAAAUAUUCAUAACUAUUGAAGCAUGUGCUCUAUGUAUCUACUGCAAGGCCUACCCAGAAUCUUUUGUUCUUGGAUGUCUUUAAAGGUAAACACUAUAUAUGAUUAACAUAUACCUGUGUAUGGCAAACAGUAAUGCUAAUGCUGCAACAGUUUUCUCUCCGCCAGAUAAUUGUUCCAUAUCUCGAAAGCGCUUUGUUGGGGGCAUAGUAGUGUACUUGACGCCAUGUAGAUAUGGAUCAUCUUCAUUUUCUAAAUUCAAAUAUGCCGUCCCACCAAGUGGAUGUGUAUUGCUCUUCGUCAGUUGCUUGUAUAUCUUAUCAAUAUUACUAGAAAUAUGGUUGAAGGCAUCCAUAAACUUCUCAUACCUGCAUUGACCAAAUAAACCAUUACAAUCAAAUGUCAGGGAAAAAAUAGAAAUCAGUUGCGUAGUGGGCAUAUUUGUCACUUACGUGAUGAUUUCUUUCACUUUCUGUCGACAGUAAACAUUGACCAUUCCUAUUACUAGUUUCUAUCCAUAAAGUUUGUCUUACGAAACCCAAUAAUGUGCAAUCAUGUAUAGUCAACUACAUUAUGAUAAUUAGACAAUCCAGUAGCAGUGUAAAAGCAAUCAAUACCUGCUUUGCUUAACCGAGUUAAACAGAUCAGCCUUUUGCUUCUGUUCUUUUCUGGCCACUUCAAACUCUGCAGUUAUAUCUCUUUCCUUUUCUUGUAGAGCCUCAUAUUGGUCCAUGGCCUUCAAAUUGGGAGCUGUUCUUUCUAUUUCUGAUAGCUUGGCAUCCAUUUGUUUCUUAAAGUCUAACUCGACUUUCUCCCGCUCAGAAGGCCUCCUAUCUCUCAAUAGAGACUCAUCUAACUCAUCAAAAUCAAAUACUGGGCCCGUUGUGGAGGAGUCAGUCUCCAUUGGAUCUGAGAUGAUAGGAAGGCUUAUUUGCUGAAGUUCACAAUUUUCUACUAUCUCCUGCUUCCGAGAUGUUAGCUGCUCAAUCUGAGUUUCCUGUAAGGCACGAAAAAAAUGUUUAGGGAUUCAAAUUAACAUGGUACAGAAGUGUCGCAAACAAAACCAAAUGCCAACCUUAGAAUUUAUCUGUCGAUUAAGUUUGGAUACAUUUGUUGUAGCAGUAGAACCCCGCUUGUUCCAUUCUUGAAUUUCCUUUUCACACCCUUCCGACUUGGAUUUCCACUCUACAUUAAUAGUGAGAGAUACAACUUUAUGAACUAAAAAGAAAGGAUAAAGUGGGUUUGCGACUCGUUUGAACAACUUGGGAAAAAGACAGAAAAAGAACAACAACCAUGAGAUCAAGUCCCGCGCUCAAGGCCUAAAAUCUGAGAAUUUAAGUUCUCCAAAAAAAAUACAGUACCAUGCCGAACUUUUAUCAUACCUUGUGCAUCUUCCUUCAACUGCUCAAUCUCAGCAGAGGCUUUUUCAGCUGCAGAGUUGGCUUCAAAUUCUUUCUUUUGAACCCAUUCUAAAUCUUUUUGUAGAUUACUAAUAGAUGAUUGGAGUUCUUCAAUUCGUGUAGCCAUGUCCCGAUUUUGCUCAUACUCUAGCCUGAAAGCAAACAAAGACCAGUAUUUUACCAUAAAAUAUGAGCAAGUGCCAAAGCUGUCAUACAACAAGUACACCAGAAACAAUAGUGGUGAAACUGGGCAGAUUGUUUGGGUUUGAUAUUUGAGUACUUCAAUAGAACCUGUGGUCAAUCUAAAAAGUUAAAACAAAAUUUUCAAAGACUUUACAGCCCUACAAAGAACUUGUAACUGGACAGCGUCAAACAUCUCUCAUCUUUAGUGAUCACUGCUUUCUAAAAAAGUCGUGUGAUAAUAGACACGACAGCGUUCUUUAAAGAUGAUCAAGACACAUCAAAAAGAAUAUAUGGUGGGGAGCGAGGAAAACCAACUGACUAAUUGGCCCAAUACUUGUAGUUGGUUGUUUCCUCAGUCAAAGUACUUGUAGUUCAUCAGAAUGUUAAAGCACAAUUUGAAGAUGCAUAAAUGCAUGCACAUUCAUACAAUAGUGUGGGAAUCAAUGAUCAAGUUAUAUAUCACAUAAUUCAUGCAUGUGUCCAACAUAAUAUACACAACUCACAUUCCACUGUAUGCCCAAAAUAAAAUAAUUACCAACAUACAACAGUAAAAUUGACAAAAGAUAAAAUAUAGGGAAGAACAUACUGGUAUUUCAAUUUUGAUAGCUGGCUACUCAAACUAAGCCUCUCUUCAGCCAUAGAUUGGGAAACCUUGAGUUGUUUUUCUUCAUACUCACGAAUGUUAUCUACCCCAACAGAUUUACUAAAGCCUUUGUAGAGUCUGUCAACAAUAUCAUUUAUCCUCUUCUCAAGCUUAUUGAUUUCUGUGCUCCGCUUAUCUACAGCUUGUUUUAGCUGCAAUCAUUUUUAAAACUGCUGUGUGAAACAAAAUGCUAGAAUAAGCUAGAGAAAACAGUAAUCAGGGAAAUACCUUCAGAAGAUCAGGACUGAUACGAUCAAUCUCUUCUUUUAUGUUCUGCCUCUCCCGCGCCAAAUUUGCAAGUUUGUCCUUGAUGCUUUUCUGUGAAAAAACUCAUCUUAGUUUUGAAUCCACUAGAAGGAACCUCAUGUUUAGCUUAAUUAAGAUAUAUCAAAGUAAAAGACUGAAAAACUAUUCACCCACCCUCCCACACCCAAAGCACAAAGGAAAAACUAAAAUAGAAUAAAUAGCAUUCAUCUCCACUUUAUAAUUAAAAGACCAAUACCAACCCUUCCCAUCAAGUCUAAUUCAUCUUAUUUGAUAAACCACACACAAGUGACACAACCAGACAUAAAACAGCUUCAAAGUUCAACCUGCAUCUUCUAGAUUUGGUGUCUGGGUAUGGAUAUAAAACUACCUUACCUGUAGAAUAGGAGUGAAAAAAAAAAGAUACAAGUAAAUCCUUGCAAUUACCUUCUCAAUAUCUGCAUAUUGGAUUUUCUUAUCAAGCCCACUAAGUCUGCCAGCUGUUUCAGACUCUUUUAGCUGCAUCUCUCUAAUUGACCCAAGCUCUUCUAGCUCCAACUCAAACUGUUCUUUCUUCUUCUUCAGUCCUAAACAACAAACAGUUAAACCACAUCAAAAAUUACCAGACCAAAAUUCAAAUGACAAUACAGCAAUUCAAAACUCACCUUCGACUUUUUUAUCAUCCCACUGUUUUGACCUAGCUUCCAUUCCUCCACUGGUACCACCAGUCAUUGUGCCAGAUUUUGACAGCAUAAUUCCAUCAACAGUUACAACUAAUUAAAGGGGGAAAGAGAAAAAAAGUUAGAUGCUGGCUAAAUAAAAACAUGCCUGACACAGAUACUUAACGAUAACAAAGUUGAACGCAUUACCUUUGAACCUCUCACCACUCCAGCUUAGGCGCUUAGCCUCAUCAAGUUCGUCACAAACGAGAGUAUUGCCAACCGCAAAGAGAAUAGCCUUCUCCAAGGCAUGAUCAAAUGUAUGGUUGUUAAGUAGACAAACUAAUAGCACCUCUUCGUAGAUUCUCAUGCAGAAAAUAGUUUUCUUACAAACAGAAAAACAUACAAGGAAUACAGGCAACAUACAUCAAGGACAGUACAUAGCAUAGUGAUCAGGAGGAUGAUCUAAAACAAUAGCUAACCACGAAAUGAUGAAGGUGUGAGCGUGCUUCUAUGCAUUAACAUGUUCCAUCUAAAUAAAUGCAGAGACGAUACUAAUCUGGAUGAUUAUACUCAAACUCUUUGUGGGAGAAAGCCAGAGGAAUGAUGAGUUACAUGAAGAAAACUUGUGCCAUAAAUGGAAGAAAAGAAUGAGAACAGAAAAUCAUCCAAGUUGAAAGGGAAAAGAAUUAAAUAAUUUUUUUUAAAAAAAUCAACAAGAAUAAAACACAUAAUGGGAUCCUAAUGCAAGUCUAUAAUAGAACACAAGUUGUUCAAUUUUUUUAGUUAUUUAAAAGUUCCAUAAUUUCUUCUAGAAAAAUAUAUGUUUUCGAUAACCAGAGUUCCACUACCCAAAAACAAUAAUGCACCAGAAAUUAGCAGCACUAACCGGCCCAGAUCAAAGAUACUCUCUUACUGCAUAUGAUGGAAAACAUGAAAAUGUAAUACAACAUAUAUAUACACACACAAAAAUAUAUGUAGUUAUGUAUAUAGAUCAAUCACACAUAACAUCUCUGCCUAUUUCUAUGCAUACAAAUAAAGAGCUAUACAAUGUGCACUACACACAUCCUUUUCACACAGACAUGCAUGCAUGCAGACAAACACCAACAAGAUUACACAAAAAUGUAAAUCUUCAACUACAGAGUUCGGAACAAACAAAAGUUUGGACACUAAACCAAUGUAGGCUUUUGUAGAAGCAAAUAUCAAGAAAAUAACACAUAGAUUUUAUUUGAUCUCUACUGUACCGUAAGAUGAUAACCAUGACAAAGAAUUAUUGAAUUUUUGCUCUCAAGAAAGCAUGAUGAAAGGAUAUUGAACAACAUCAAAAACCAGCUUUGCAGUACCACCCAAGUUACGCAGUCUCUCCAUUACUUGCUUUACACGAACAGAUUGGAGAGGUAUGAAUGUCUGAGGAGGAAGCCUUUGUUCUUUCAAAUACUGCAGAAAUGCAAGGAUCAGUAUCAGAACCGCAUUCACAUGAAUGAUAUAAUAUUCAAACUUUGUCAACAUAUAUUUCACAUUGGUACCCCAAGUAAUCAAUAAAACUGUCCGUAUCAUUAGAUAUUUCAAUAUUCAAACACACAAAAAACCAACAGACUCAAACAGGAUAAGAGAAAGAAAAAAAAUUAAAUCUCUUGAUUUUCCUAUAAUCUAUUUUCUUUAUUUUUAUUCUGAUUGCCUUGCAACUACUGUGAUGUGAAUAAUCAUUAUAAAAAUUGAGAAUUUAAAAUCUUAAUUUUACCAAUGAAAUAAGGAAGGCAAUCUUAACAAGCUAGUGUAAGCAUUCUACAAGAGCGAAAAGAUGAGAACAUAUAUCACCUUGAUACACUCCUUUCCUGUUUGUUCAUCUUCAACUACGACUGCAUCCAUAAAUUUUCCCAUGGCAACAGUGACAGCAAGAUUAUACUUCUUUUGUGUUGGCCUACAGAGUUCAGUCAUGCGACCAUGGACACCCUGAAACAAGCGCUUGAGAGUCUCUACUGCCUGAGACAACCUGGAAUCCCUCUCAUUCUCAUAUCUAUCGGCCUUCAGUUCACGUAAUUGCUUCUCUAAUUCAUCAAUUUUUGACUUCAAAUUUUCAUACUUCUGUCUGUAUAUCCAUAAAAAGGAUAAUAGUAAACAUACAAAUCAUCACAUUUUGCUAGUGUCUUGUAAAAUAAGUAAAUAACAACCUAAAGAAGAGAAAAGAAUGGAGAAAUUUAAUCAAAUGAAUAAAGGGGAAUGAGAAGCACCAGGCAACACAUGCCAAAACCUUAGCAGAACGUAUGAAUGACUCUUAAAAAGCAUAAAUUUAAAAAAUAAAAAUAAAAAAAAGCAAGCAUACAAGCAAGUUGAAUAACCUGGCAUUCUGAUGUUUAUCCUUCAUCACAAGCAAUUCAUUAUUCAGACUUUUUACUUCCUCUCUGUGUUUUGCAGAGUUAUCUUUAAUGUUUUUCAGCCUUGUCAGCAUUUGCUUAUUCUGUGAAUCCAGUUCACUCUCCCUACUUCUCAACUGUUCAAGAUUUUCUUCCAAAUUCUUUUGAGCUUCAAGAUCAGCAUGCUGUUGCCGAUCCAGAACCUCUUUCUCAUCUGUUAGCUUCGCAGUUUUCAUCCCAGCAUCCUCCUUCCUGUGACAUCAGCAUACCAUUAAUAUUUACAAAGCCUAUCAAGGAGAGCCUCUAAAUCCUAAGUUAUAUGGUCCAGUGAAGGUAAUUUAGAAAGUUCAUGAAGAUCGAAAGGUAGGCAGGAAACUGACUUCAAUUCUCAGCUCAAAAUUGAAAAGUAACAUGGCUUUUGGUUAAAGAAACAGAACUUCAUCUUUAAAACGUAAGGAAUGGGACACUAUCAUCACACUGAGAUGCAGUAAUAAAAUUAAACAGAGAUUACCAAACACUUACACUUUAAAAUAUUCCCUCAAUUUAGUAUCGUCUAACUGUAAUUUUUCACCACCGUCUCGUCCUUUUUCAUGUAAAUCCUCUAGUUGAGUGGUCAAAUCUUGGAUGCCCUUCUGCAGCUUUUUAAUUUCCUCUUUAUGUCUCUCCCUUUCUUUUUCUUUCUUACCAAGCUCAGUCUUACUUUUCUUGAUUUUUGAAUUUAUACGAGACAUUUCCUCUUUCAGUUUCAGCAGCUCUGGUUUCUACAAAUACGAAACCACAUCAAACAAUUCACUGUAUGUCCUCUUGAUCAAGCAUAAGAUCAAUUAUAUUUACAGAAAAGUAAAGGCCAUUUAUUUUAGAACGUCAGCAAAACUAGCAAUAUAACGGAAAAAAAUUCACAAGGACCCGUUCAUUCACCCACAGCAGCUAUACGAGACAGUCAGAUACUCUUAUAUUAUAUAUGUAGGUUGAACGAACACGGUUUCGCUAUAAUAAGUAAAAAUGUAAAGAUUUAUGUUAUAACUUCUCUUAAGCCUCGGUCAUUUGAGGGUCUAACGGAGACCAACUCAGUAACAAAAAAGCAAAAUGAAACUCAUGGUAUUGGACACAACUAUCAAUGAAAUUUCAAUCUUCUGUCCAAGGCAAAGAAACUCACGCUUUUGUCGAGUUUAUUACUUCUCUCGGCAAUCUUCUUCUCACAUUGGGCAAUCUCUUUUAAGUACUUGUUGAGUUCUUUCUUCUUUUUGGUUGCUUCUUGCUGAAAAUCAUCUAGUUCUUGCAUAACCUGUUCACGGUUUCUCUUUUCAGCUUCAAGCUCAUUAGUCGUUUUUGUUAUAUCUCUUUCUAUGUUGAACAACUGCCACAAAAAAUGUUCUCUCUUCAAAGAUUUCUGCAAGAAAGAAUACAUGUGAUUUUAGUAUUACACAGAAUCAAAGUUCUUAAGCAGAAGAUUCAAAGACAGGAGCAUACACCUAUUGAGCAUGUAAAAGAAACAAAACGUCAAUACCAAAAUAGUCUACAGGGAUAAGAGUUUGAUAUAUUAAAGACAGAUCCUAUAUUAGAUUUAAUCUACAUGUGUGAAUGCACACAACCAUGUGGAUGCAAGAUUCAUAGUGUGUGCGUAUUUGCGUGUGUGCGUGCAAAAGAGAUAAAAGGGAAAUGCAAUAUGCGAGACCCUCUUUCCUGAAAGUGAGUUCCUAGUAUCUACAAUAUCUUUUAAAGUUACAUGAUAUCUUUCAUGCAGGCACUUGUACAAUUAAUUACAUAAUUUCACCCAACACGGAUAAUUGAAACAAGCAGGAUAGACAUACGAACAACCCCGAUAAACAUAAUAUACAACAUAUGCAUAUUAUUGUGUGCAUAUAGACAUAUGUAACCAUUAACCAGUAAGCACGGACCAAGUAUGUGUAUAAAUAUAUAUACACACACACACAGCAAGUACGUGUAUAUGUAUGUAAAUAGAAAAAGAACGUUGAGGUACAAACCAGUUCAUUUUGCAGGCGAAUAUGCUUCUCAGCUUCUUCCUUUUGCUCUUUCUUUUGCUUCCUCUCCGCUACUAUGGUCCUCUUUUUCUGAUAAACAAGUGCUGCUUUUUCUUCAGCUAUGCCUUUCUCUUCUUCGUACUUUUCAUAGUCUCUCUUGAAGUCAUCUGACCCUGAGAUCUGCUCAAGCAGUGCAGUGAGUUCCUUAGGAUUUUUAGAGGCAAUGGACUCCACAUCACCCUACGGAGAAAGAAAUAAUCAGUAAUUAAAAGUGACCCGGUUACUGCCAAGAUAUGCAAACAUCAAAGUCACCAUAAAAGCAGCAGUCAUCUAUUUGUCUAUGAAAAAUAAUGCAAAUGAGUAGAGAUUGCACGGUUAGCAACUUCUGUGAAUUCUCGUUUUUUCCCUUUUAAUUUUGGUUUGGAUGAACAUGUUUCCAAAUUUAAUAAAGAUGUUCCAACGCGUCACUACACCGGAGUGCCCAAAUAAGAGUACACAGAGCCUGAAUUCAACAAUGGGUGGCAAGACAUUUACGUUACCUAACCCAACACCUUCAACUUCGCAAACGAAAUGUGCAAUUGGCGUCAGAGACAUUUUCGAUAUUCAAUAAUUAACUAACGCAAGGUGUGGCCAAUAAAUGUCAUUGAUGUACCUUCUCAUUCUAUUCUCAUUCAAAACCUCUGCUUCUUAGCAAACAUACUCCCUAAAGCAUAAUCAAUGAAAACAAUUCGACAUAGAAAAGCUAAAUUACGAGUAUCAAGUAAUCGAAAUCAACCUGAAAAACAAGAAAAUUGCGGGCCUUGACCAGAAUUCCCAACGACUUAAGCUUCUCAGUAUAAGUAUCCGCCGUCACCGACCUGCCGUCGAUGCGGUACUCACUGCCGCCGGAGCUAGUGAUGGCCCUGGUGAACUGGAUCUCGGACUCAUUGGCAAGCUGAUAAACCAAGGUCACGAACGCCCGGCGUCCCUUCUCGGUCUUCUCGCUGUCGUCCAUGGCGUAGAUCAGGUCCUUGAGCUGGGACCCACGGAGCUGGCCGGUCUUGACGCCGAGGACGAAGCUGAUGGCGUCCAUGAGGUUGGACUUGCCGGAGCCGUUCGGGCCGAUUAUGGCGGUGAAGUCGGAGAAGGGGCCGAUGACCUGGUGGCCGCGGUAGGACUUGAAAUUCUCGAGCUCGAGGCGGUGGAUUUUGCCCUGGGAGAUGAAGGACGGCAUGGCUUAGGGUUUCGGGGAGUUUGAAUCGAAGCUAGGGUUUGGGGAGGAGGUGGAAUUGAGCGGAGUAAAGGAGAGAGGAGAUGAGGGGAGGGGUGGCCGGAGAGAUGAGGAGGGGAGGUUUCCGGCGAGAGGGGAGGGAGGAGUGGAGGCGGAGAGGAGGGGAUUGGGGAUUUUGAGGUGGGAAUUGGCGGGAGAUUGGGGGAGUUUUGGGGAAUUUUAGGGAGGGUUGGUGAUUUGAGUUGCCAUUUUCGAAGUGAGAAAAAGUAGGAGACCGCAAAGAGUGAGCGCUUUAGUAGAGAGUCGAAACGUUUCGCUUUGGGCAAGAGAAUGCUAUUAUUUUUAUUUGCAGUUUAGUCCUUAAGGUUUUCUUUAUUUUCGUUUUGGCCGCUAGUUGGGUCAAGAUUUUACUUUUUUCUUCUUGUCUGAAUUCAAUAUGUGGAAAUUCAGUAGUUAGUUUCUUACCUUUCUGACUUUAAUCUUGUUUGAUCAAAACAAAAAACAAGCUCUUAUGAACUUUCAAUAGUCUCAUAAUAAUGUGUAUCAAUGAAGAAUGAAUCUAAAAAGGGGAUCAAUAGCUACUUAAAUUAUUGUUAAGAUUAUAUGAUAUGAUGUUAGAUUAUAGAAUCAUAUCACAAUAAAAAAUUGUAAUUUAAUAUUACUUGGAGAAUCAAUAUAUAAUCUUAAUUUUAGCGUAGAUGGUUAUUGUCUUUAUUGAUCCACCCAAAUCGAGAUCUAGAAAGAUGAAUGUCAAGGAGCUUUGGGGGGAAACUGGAAAGUAGGGGAUUGGCGGGAGAUGAAAUUUGUAAACUGCAGAAUAAAACUGCGAUAAUAUAAAAUUAUGAAGAAUGGGCUUUUCUAUUCAAAAAAAAAAAUUAUGAAGAAAAAAAUUACCAUGGUCAAUUGACUUUCCUAACAAAAAACAUCACAAAAAAGGUGCAACCAAGGCAAAGGCUAUGAAUAGGGAACAAAUCAAGUUGUCAUUCUACUUUCAUAAUGACAGUACGUCUUUAUAUCGUUGCGGUACGGUUCUUGCACUCGGGAAUUUCCAACAAGGAAAGCGAAGAGAAACCGGCAUAUAAGUGAGGAGAGAAUCCAGAACAUAUACUACACCAGAGAACGGUACAUAGACAUGUCAAGUAAGGCAAAGAAACUACUCAUCUGAAAAUGAAAAACAGAAAAAGACAGUAGCAAGAUGCACAUACAUAAAAAGAGUUUAGCAGAAGGGGCUUAUAGAAUGGAGACAGCUUCCACAAAAUAGUUUUGCCCCCACCUGAAGUCCACAUUCCAUGCUUAAAAAGUACCGAGUAUGAUUACAGAAUGGUUAAUUACUCUGAACAACAAUCAAAGAAAGAGACUCCUAAUGGACAAGGAUAUCCUGCUAGUAAGAAGUCAUCUGGAUGGAUGAAGCUUCAUCAAUGACCAACUUUUUCACUGCUAGACGAAGUGCCGUCUUGUACAGAAUCCGCUAUUUUGGUUUCACUAGGAGUUCCCACAGGCGCAGAUGGGAUGACUUCAGAAUAAAUGGAAUAUUCAGGCAGUAUACCGCCACGGUUUUGGAUGUCAUCUAAAUCCUCACGCUCAGGGGGGUUUGAGUUUCCUGGCAGUUCUCCAUGAUUUUGAGCCGGCACUUCUGGCACCUCAGGUCUGGUGGCAUCCGGAUUUUCAAGCUGUUGGCCUCCAGAGUUUUGGGAAGCUUCCAACUCCUCAUACUUGGAAAUAACUUGUUGAAGUUCUUCAUGAAGAUAUAGAGCCUCAAAGAGCAUACUUUCAUCAUCAGUAGUGGUUUCUAUAAUCCUCUGAAUAACAGGCUGAGACUCCUUGCACUUUUCCAGCAUGUUCAUCGUUAGUUCUUCCUGCAAUCAAGCAAGCAUUUCCACCAAGUUACAUAUCAUCUUCCGCUCACAAGUUGAUCUUUGGAUUAGGUAAAAUAUGGAAAAAUAAUCGUAGGAAAGGUCAAAUACUAUCUAGAAGAAUUAUUAUCAUGCAAUAUAUAAUCAUAUAGGAUAACAGCGUACAGGCAAACCUAGCCAUAGAAGAAUUACAACCGCUCUCCCUUACGGUCUGUGCUCAUAGUCAUAAUGCACGGAACAUGAAAAUUCUUCAACCUGCCCUAUAUUAUUUCUAUCUUCCUUUUAUAUACAAGGGAUAUGUAUUCUUCAAUAAUAUUUUAUAAAAGUAUUUUGAAUAUCCGGAUGCUUUAGAAUAGAAAUUUGUCAGUGAUAAGGAAGCAAAGCACUUAGUUCUAUCUCAGUAUUGAUUCCAGAGAAAUUUACACACACACACACACACACAUAUAUAUAUAUAGGAAUUAGUAUUGAUUUCCACAGAGAAGUCAGAAACACACCUUCAAAGGUUUCGGAUCUGUUUCACUAUUCAAAAUACUAGACAGCAACUCCAGGCUAUUGCGAGCUACAACAAGACAUUCUUUUUUUUCCUCGACUGAUAGGUAGUUAUAGCGAAAUUCACGGUCACUUGCAUCAUGAAAUCCUGUGACUGGUACAGGGUAUCUUUCCGGGGGAGGCAUAGGCUCUUCCAUGUAUGAUUCCAAGGUAGAUUGCAACGAGGGCGAAGUCCCUUCUGGUGCCACUGGACGUGCUCCUCUUUCUCUCAAUGUCUGUAUAACACCCAGAGAUAUAAUAAGGACAUCAAAUAUUACUUCAAUGGAUGAAAACCAAGAUUACUACAAGAAGAAAAUUCCAUGGUCCACAGAAGACAGGCCAGAAACUUAACAAAAUGAUACGGACCUAACAUAAUAAGCUAAAUGAUGAUGAGGAAUUUGGUACAAUGUCACUCUACCUUAGGAGAGGGUAUGCAGAUCAAAAAGGCGAUUUCAUGGGUAGAUGUAAACUAAAAAUCAUUAUAUCAAUCAAGAAGACCACAUUAUGGAUCAUCUUCAAAGCGGGGAACUAUAUACUAGGCCAUAUGAAUGUAAAACUGGGAGGUCAAGUCAUAAAUUGAUCAGAAAAGGAAAAGCAUACGCAAUGCUUUGUGCAACUUCCGUAGACUCAUAACAGAGAAACAGCAACGAAUAAUUGUUCUUCAGCCCCAGAAUAAAUAACAUAGCCUUUAUCUAUGAAAAACCAUAGCUGCUGGUUCAAAGGGCCAAUCAACUCCUAAACACUGAUGUAAUUCAAUGAUGCAUAGAAAAAUACCAGCUAGCUAAAGUCUCACACAAGAUAUGCUUUAUGCAACGACAUAGAAAGAAAUCAAAGAAUGCUCACCAUGUAAGUCUGACGAAACACGGGUAGAUAAGCAAGAUCCUGAGACUCUCCCCACGCCCUAAUCAACUGCAUAGCCCUCCUCCUAUUCUCAUUAUCCGUCUGCGGAUUCUCAAUCAUCCUAACCAUCUCCUCCAACACCUUCUCGGACGCAAUCUCCGAAAACACCUUCUCACAAUUCAUAGCAAUCGCCUCCAACAAGUCAAGACUCAGCCUCUGCGUCACCACACUCUUCCCCGAAAUCUUCCUCUUAAUAACCCUCACAACUUCAAACCCGCUGAACUCCUCACUAUUAAUCAUUGCACAUAUCCUCAAGUUCAUCCCCCAAUUCGGCUCCUCCAUCGUCUCCAACGUCGCCUCGUCGAUCAUCCUCGAUUCCGGCGUCGGCGUCUGCAGAAUCUCCUUCACUUUUCCACUCACCAUCCUACCCAUCUGAGCUCCACUCGUCACCAGUUUCUCACCCAAGUUACCCAGCUGAGUUAAGUUGAACUUGUCCAUACUUCACAACCCUGGUUCCAUUUUACAAAUCACAAUAAAACACACACACCCUCUUAGUCUCUCAACUCAAAUCUUCAAUGAAACUGUAACUAUUCAGCAAAGAAAUGACAAAUCCUAGAUACAGUUCUAGAUUGACGUUUUCAUAUGAAACAAAAGCAGAUGGAAUUGAGAGAUGGGAAAAGUGAGGUACCUGGUUUGAUGGUGGGGGCUCCGGCGACGGAAAACGGGGACUGGGCGCAGGGAAGCGUUGAUCUUUUUCUGGUGAAGGUUUGGAGUUGAAUUGGUUUAGAGAGAGAGAGAGAGAGAGAGAGAGUGGGGAUAGUCAAAACUAGAAAGGGAGAGAGGGAGUACGUGGCGGCAAGAUAGGAAAGGAGACAGGGAUUUGGCGUAGGUUCGCGGUUAGUGGUGGGUCUAGUGCCACGUGGAUUUGGGAGUUUCGGGUCGGGUCCGAGGUCUGUUGGAAAAUUGGAUAGUUCUAAAAACGGUCUGUGUACGGAAAAAAGGAUGGAAUAAACAGGGUCUUGCUCGUUUAGAUAAAACUAUCGAGGUACUAACUAACUUGAUUGUCUUCAUCUUGUUUGUUACUGAUAAAGUGAUAAGUNAUAACAAAGGUUGAGCAAAAAUCUAAGUUAAGCUAUACUUCAUAAGAAAUGUUUUNAUUGUUGACUAUUCUUUAAAAAUUAGAUGUAAUCACUCGCUCAUCACCAAAAAAUCUAAUUGUUGUUUAGGAGGGACCAAAAAUUUGCCCUGAGAUUGGNUAUGCAGCCCAAUNAGAGCCGNNNNNNNNNNNNNNNNNNNNNNNNNNNNNNNNNNNNNNNNNNNNNNNNNNNNNNNNNNNNNNNNNNNNNNNNNNNNNNNNNNNNNNNNNNNNNNNNNNNNNNNNNNNNNNNNNNNNNNNNNNNNNNNNNNNNNNNNNNNNNNNNNNNNNNNNNNNNNNNNNNNNNNNNNNNNNNNNNNNNNNNNNNNNUUGUAUGGUGGGGCGUCCGGCGACGGAAAACGGGGAACGUGGCGCGAGGAAGGCGUUGUAUCUUUCUUGGUGAAGGUUGGAGUUGAAUAGUUAGUAGAGAGAGAGAGAGAGAGAGAGAUGGGGAUAGUCAAAACUGAAAGGGAGAGAGGGAGUACGUGGCGGCAAGAUAGGAAAGGAGACAGGGAUUUGGCGAGGUUCGCGGUUAGUGGUGGGUCUAGUGCCACGUGGAUUUGGGAGUUUCGGGUCGGGUCCGAGGCUGUUGGAAAAUUGGAUAGUUCUAAAACGGUCUGUGUCGGAAAAAGGAUGGAUAAACAACGGGGCUUGCUCGUUUUGGAUAAAACUAAUCGAGGUACUAACUAACUUGAUUGUCUUCAUCUUGUUUGUUACUGAUAAGUGAUAAGUGAUAACAAAGGUUGAGCAAAAUCUAAGUUAAGCUAUACUUUCAUAAGAAAUGUUUUUCAUUGUUGACAUCUUUAAAAUUAGAUGUAAUCACUCGCUCAUCACCAAAAAUCUAUUGUUGUUUGGAGGGCAAAAUUGCCCUGAGAUUGGCAUUGGCAGCCCAUGAGAGCCGCUUUGUUCAUCACCGACAAGGGGUGAAGUUAGUGUCGACACGAAAAGAAGCGCAGCCAGAGAGAAUAGGGUUUUCAUUGUCUCUUUUUAAAGUUUUUUUACCUUGAUUUCAUUAUUGAUGGUUCUACUCAGCCAUUCGAAUUUGCUAUAUAUACCUCAUUUAAUUUUUGUGAAAAUUGAUUUCCUCUCUUACAGUCUAAAAAAUUUCACAUGUUCUAUCCAAGGAAGAAAGCAAACCUAGACACUCGUAAUUUUAGGUUCUUAUCGUUGACGAGGAACUUCAUAUAGAAUUUUAUUUUUGAGUACGGCUAUUGAGACCUCCAAAUUUGCUCAGUAUACCUCUCAUUCUCUCUACACCUCCAUUUUACUUUUAAAUACAAACAUUUGCUCACUAGACCUCCAUUCAAAUUUCUAAAAUAACAUUGUUUAUGUAAUUCACAUAUAUUUCAAUAUAUUACUCAUUGCACCACUUAUUCAUUCACUAGACCUUCCAUUCCUUUUUAUUUUUUUCGCAUGCGAACAUCCAUUCCUGACAUCCAUUAUUUAAUUUUUUUUUUUUUCUACGCAAACAUCCAUUCCCGACCUCCAUUUCUUUUAUUUUUUAUUUUUGCAUAAGAUGUCACUAGACCUUCUAUUUUUUUUUAUCAAAUUGUAAGAAAGAAUUUCAAUGACAUAANNNNNNNNNNNNNNNNNNNNNNNNNNNNNNNNNNNNNNNNNNNNNNNNNNNNNNNNNNNNNNNNNNNNNNNNNNNNNNNNNNNNNNNNNNNNNNNNNNNNNNNNNNNNNNNNNNNNNNNNNNNNNNNNNNNNNNNNNNNNNNNNNNNNNNNNNNNNNNNNNNNNNNNNNNNNNNNNNNNNNNNNNNNNNNNNNNNNNNNNNNNNNNNNNNNNNNNNNNNNNNNNNNNNNNNNNNNNNNNNNNNNNNNNNNNNNNNNNNNNNNNNNNNNNNNNNNNNNNNNNNNNNNNNNNNNNNNNNNNNNNNNNNNNNNNNNNNNNNNNNNNNNNNNNNAACAAGGUAUUGUGUCUCAAAAUUAAUCUCUAUCGAUCAUCAAAAGAAUGUUUUCAUGAACUUGAUAAUUUAUAGAUCAUUUAAAAAAAAAAUAUUGUUUUCACGUAUAUGCGUGCAACACUGCAAUAUAAUGAUAUAUAACAUAACAUGUUGUAGGAAUAUUCUACAUGUGUAUGUCUUGGUCUAUGCUAGUCAUAUAAGGAAUCUUGAUUCCGUAUAGAGAUAUGAUAUUAAAGAUAUGUUUCCUUGUAGAACACCAUAUAGUGCUAUCACUGUUAUGUAAUCCCUAUAUAAUGGCUCUUAUAUAAAUGAAUAAGAUACAGUUCUUCAUUCUCUUUACGAUCUAUUGUUCUUUCAAUAAUUAUUUCUUGAUCAUAAUUACAUAAAUUUUUCUGUCCACAUGCAUGAUGGAUAUUACUCAUAGUUUUAGUUGUUAUAAUAUACAUAUAUAUAUAUAUGCUAUAAUAAUUAUGGAGUAAAAUUAGAAAAUGACAAUCAAUAAGAAAAAUAAUAAAAAGCAAUUAAUUCUUAUUUAAUUGGAAGUUUAAAGAGAAUAAAUAUUAUAUUUAUUUUUGUGUAAUUAUUGUCCUUAAUAGUCAUUAUGUAAGAGGAUAUAUAUGUUAUUUAAUAAUUCAAAAUAUAAUGAGGUCCAGUGAGCAAAUUUAGAUGUCCUAAUAACCGCACUAUUUAUUUUUUAUAUGAUAAUAUAUUACGUUUGAAAAAUUGAUCUUGUGUUGGACAGACUAUCCAUAUGCAUAUAUGCCUCAUGAAGUGAAGGUGUUGCACAAACCAUAAAGACAUUUGAAUGUGAUGUAAUAUUUUCUUCAGGAUGCGGUGAUGCGGGGAGAGAGAGAUAGACCUUCGUACUCAUGUUAUGAAGUACCUUCCAAACAUUUGAAGUUUAACUGCAACUCACUUUGUUGACUAGAAUCUACAAUUACCGUUGCAGACUCACAGCUACUAAUUUUAUGAAACUUAAUUAAAAAUCCGAAAAUUAUUUUAUGCACCUUGGUGCAAGUGAACCGAGCAACUAAUAUAUAAUAUUUUUGAUCCGGCUAUCCACGUCGCACUACAUGCAUAUAUCCUAAUACCGUUAACAAAUUGAAACACAAAAAAAUAGUCUCAAGUGUUCAAGAAGUGAGAACCUGAUGUUGAAGAAGAUGUACUUUUAUUAUGGUCGUUUAAUUUGAUCGGAUCAAAAAUGAAAAUGAAAGAAAGAAAUUUAUGGUCUAUAAUCUUCAUUUGAUCUUCACAUACGGCAAUUUAAAGACUUACAUAUUAGUACAAGUACAUCACAGUAUACAGGGCAUAGAAUCCAUCCGGUAAAAAACCUAACAUAGGUGGCCAUUAAUUCAUUAUUUUAGUUUUGUCAAAAAAAAAAAAUACAGAGCUCUACUACCAUCAAAACACAUCAUCGUCUAAAAUCGCGAUUUGCGAAAGCCCACGAGAGCAUAAUAACGACACAGAAACUUUUUAGGGGUUUAACAAAAGUGGAACGCCCAAACUGAACUUCUUCAACUCAUAAAGCAGUUCAAUCUCUCUCCGUGUUUGCGAUGGUUUCCCUUGGCACCUGGUUCCGAUACAUAGCCCACAAGCUUGAAUACUCUGCCACCAUCAGCUGGAAGGUCUCUCACUCAUUCUUUGCUCUUCCCCAUUUUGUAAUUUAUCUUUAUUUGCUUUGAUUAAUCCGCUUCUGGGUUAGAAACUAUGAUUCUCUAGACCCACUAAGGUUAAACAUCGAACUUUUGUAAUGGGGAGUUGUUAAUUUUGGUAAAGGAAUGCUCUUUUGGGAUUUAUGGGACCGGUUUGCCCCUACCUGUGCUCUUUUGUUGUUUAAAGUAUGAAACUAUAUGGACCGAAUUCAUGAAUUGUGAGUCUGGGUUCUGUUUUGAUGUGGUUUAUGGUGUUAGGAUGUUGUUGUGGAUAAGGGUUUGGUACUUUGGUUGUUGCUUUUCUUAAUAAUUUGUGGAUUUUCUCAAUGGCAUUGUUAUGUUUGAUCAUAAUUUCAUAGUUGUUUUCCCAACUGGUGUUAUAUAAUACUUAGUGUAAUAUUGAUACAUGGGUCGGAGCUUGUGUUCGUUUAAGUGCUUGGUUUAGCCUCAAAAUUGCGAUUUAGUCAUUUCCGGUGGCUGUUUUGGGUGCAUAAGAAGAUAGAGUUAGCUUAUAGAUAUGCUAUGAAGAUGAAAACUUUUGAAAAGCCGAGUUUGGUGCUGGUGUGUGGCUGUUGAAAGUUUAAGGUCAAGCGUAAAACUGGGGGACAUCUUUCUUCCUCAGUUUUUUAAUGUAUAGCUUGAGGCAAAAGGAAUACAUAUAAUCCUGAUAAUCCUUUCACAAGUCAUUAUUAGUAGCAGACUUGGUUAGUUUAUCAGAUGGUUUGUAUGGUCAACCAAUACUUGAUCUCCUUUUGAUAUGUAAGUUAUUUAGUUAGUAAAGGUUGUAUGAAUGAAGUGUGUUUCUGUUUUGUCCCUUGUUUGUUAAAGUUUUACUGACAUCAAGGUUUGGGAGAUGCAGAACUAUAAAAGAGGUCAAAUCACAGACAGAGAGCUUGGUGAUGCCGUUUGGAAAAACCUGUUCCAGGGAAAAUUGACAUACUUGCACUGGAACAAAGGAGCAGAGAUGGCCCCAAGUAUAGGUGAUCAAGGGGGAACUCUCCUUGUCAGGAAGUUACCAGCUGCAGACCCCAGGUAGUUAUCAUUUUAGAUGCAUCUUUCCAUGUUGAAUCUCCGUUCUGUGAGUUUUUAAGAUUGAGAGUAAAAGCCAUUCCUUCCAAAGUUACUCUAUGGAUCAGUUUGGAGAUCAUUUUCAUGUAAUUAUAUAAGAUGCCUCAUCGUGCAUUUAAAAGAAUGAAACUUUAAUUGUUAAUCUGAAAUCAGUUUCUUAUGAGGCACUUUCUAAUGGUUGUGGGUUUUGUAUUAGAACCUCUGAUUUCAUGAAUACUUACAGAAACUUUAAGGUAUCAUCUCAAAUUCUAAAUUCUAGGUCACCCAUGAUGACUUAUGGAUUCAUUCCAAAAAAAAAAAUGGAUGACUAUUAUGGAUUACUCAAUCAUGCAGUUAGUCUUUCUACCUUAAAUUGUUUCUUUUCUCUUUAGUUGCAGUUUAGCAAAAUUAUUGACCUUAACUUAUGUUGGUUAUAAAUUCUUUGUGAACCAUUUGGUUUAGCAGUGACUGAUUCUGCAAAUGAAUAUAUGGCAUAUGAAUAUAUGUGGUCUGGUUUUGGUCACUCAUAUUGAGUAGAAAUGUGUGGCGCUAUUCUCUUAAGCGUUUCUUCAACAUGUACUUUUGACUUUUGAAAUGACGAUAAGCUUUAUGAUGCGUGUUUACAUGAUUUGAUAGUUCCCUACCUGUUCAAGUGACACCUUCAUUUUUAUCUGACAGGCGUGUUUUUGUUGGGGAUGUAGUGGUCUUGAAGGACCCUGAUAAUCCAGAUAAUUAUUUGGUGAGAAGAUUGGCUGCGGUUGAAGGUUAUGAAAUGUUGUCCACUGAUGAAAAGGAUGAUCCUUUUGUCCUUGAAAAGGACGAAUGCUGGGUGUUGGCGGAUAAUGAAGCUUUGAAGCCUAAGGUACAUGCUAUCUUUAAAUUUAUGUUCAGACAAAUGUAUUGACUAGAUUUGCGGUUACUGCACAAUCCUUUAUAUUCCAUCAGUUUAUAUUUAUACUGCUAUAGCACUAGCAGAGUGGAUUAGCAUCUUUGUAGCAAUACAUAAUGCUUGGCAGCAGGCGGGCAGUUCUGAACUUUUGAUUGCUAUCUUGUUGUUUUAGCAUCUAUGAAAUCAUUAACAUAAUUCUUUCAUGAACUAUACCUUAGUAGUAAUUCUAAUAUGAAGAGGAUCCUUAUCAAAUCUUCAGGAGACCUUUUCCAUGAGCUAUACUUACGUAAAAACAAAAAAGCUGAGGUGCUUGUCUCAUUAACCACUACAAACAAAUUUGAUUCAUUACAAAAUGUUAUGGAACUGGUGAAAAAUAUCAAAAUAGGUAAAGACUACUGGAAAUAGGUUUUAUGCAUGAGAAGGAAUAAAUGUAUCAACUGAAUAUAUGUUAUUCUAAUUGAAGAUGGUUAAAACACUUUGGAUGAAACUUGGUCAUAAACAUGCAAUAGAUGCAUUAAAUAUUCAUCGAUUGCUAGAUAAUCUUCUGUCAUGCUCUUGAAAAGAUUGAAACUCACCUAUAGUUAUAGUUAUAUAAUCCAUUGUUUAUCAUAUUUUACUUGAAGAUAUGCACGCCAUGGUUAGAAUCAAGAAUCCACCUGCCAUCAUUUGAUCAUUUGACUAUUUGGGGGCACAUGUAUAAAUCUUUAUUCUCAUGUACUGCAGGAAGCCAAUGAUAGUCGAAAGUUUGGUCCUGUUUCAAUGACGGACAUAGUUGGUAGAGUCAUAUAUUGUCUACGGACAGCUGUUGAUCAUGGCCCUGUUCAGAAUAGGCAAGUUACUCAAACCGAGUCUGCUUAAUUGAUUAUGCUGUUUUGUUGGACAAGUUCUUGAAUGAUUUAUGUUUGUUUCUUGUGCUCUUUUUCCAGUCAUUUUAGCAUGAGAAAGGAUUCGCCUGUGCUGGAAGUUGAGUUGGAUGUCGAUGAGAUGGCAAAAAACCACAAGUCCUAAAAUGUGUCAUAAGCCACUGACUCAUUUGGUUUGUACCUAUUUCGCCCCAAUUUCCUAUUGGAUUAUUUUUCUUCUUUCUUUUCUUCCCCUUGUUUCAAGUCGGGAAAAAAAUAAAGAUGGAAUUUCAAGCUGUUCUCUAGUCAUGGGAGGGCUCAUGUUUGUAUGAGUUUAAGGUUGUUCAGGUCCUCAUUGUUCAGUCACUGUCUUUCAUUCUUGUUGAGAAUAUGAAACGGCCUGUACGGAAUUUUGUGUUUAGAAAUGAUAAUUUUAUUCUCUUGCAGCAGUGUAAUCUGAAGUACUGAAGAAAAGAAGGAUAAAUCCAGAUGUUGUGAGGGAACUUUUCGGACUUUAAUCUUUGGGGAUGUUCUUAGAAAUGCUGUUAAUUUUCCACCUUAAUAAACAUGCAGCAAACACAGGUUAUUAUUUGCAUUAGUGAGCCAAGUGGUUAUGUCAGAUUCUUUCGGUUGGAAGCGUUGGGGGAUGCCAUAAGCUUUUGCAAACUGCCUAGAUUCGUAUGAUAAUGUGAUGACUAAAUCUGAGAAUGGUCGCAACUCAAAAUAACCUAACCAUAUAUGGCUCUUUAAUCUUUAUAACUUCUUUUGAAUUAUUAUUUUUUGGAUAGAACUUCUUGUGAAAUUUGAUUUAUGGUAAAAUCCCGGUUCUUAUUCCCUCAGAAUUUGGAGAAAUUUUUCAGUGCUACGGGAGGACCACGUGGCAGUCUGACGUGGUCCUACAUUCUAAUUAAAUUUAGACAUGUGGAUUUUCUUCAUGAAAAAUUAUUUCAGCUAUUCGGUCAAAGACUAUUUUGGGUUUUAUGUUGUUUUUUAAAUACUAAACCUUAAACCCUAAACCCCAGGUUGAACUUGCUAAAUACCUAUGAAUGUCAUUUCACAAAAAAUAAAAAAUAUUAGUUAAAAUUUUAGUUGUAAAAAAUCCACAUGUCUAAAUUUGAUUAGGAUGUAGGACCACGUCAGACUGUCACGUAAUCCUCCCGUAGCACUUAAAAAAUUUCUCCGGAAUUUGCUAAAGAACGAAGUUGACAUCUAACAAAAUUAAAGAUGGAGUACAAUAUCAUUUUUGUAUGUGAUGCUGGUCUCUGCUAACAUUCAUAUUCUUCGUAAGUGAGAAGUUAUGAGUUUUACCAGUUUUUACUAAUAAAAAUGAAAAAUUGGAGUCUUGUCACCCUUGUUCUUUUUUUUGGCGUGAAGUCUUGUCACUUGUUAUACAAUGGAAUACAACACCCGGGCUGGGCAACUGGGUCACAAAACCCGGAUCCGAGACUAAACCGACUCAAAGUGUUGAUGGCUUUUAUACCCAACAAGUCCCUUAUCAAUGGCUAUAUAUAAAACCAUAACCUGGAAAUCACUGGGAGCCAGAAUAAUAGUCAGUCACAUUUGAAACCCAGAAAAUGCAAAACCGCCACCACUGAACUGAACUCACUUCUUCUCUUCUCUUUCACCUAACAAUGUCACAGAGCGUUCAUCUCAUCUGUAAGUUCCUCAAACCCAAACAACAGACUUUGGCUACUUUUCCAUAAAAACACUUGAUUGAACUCGCUUGUUUGCUUUUGGUUGUCGGGCAAACAACAAACUGGCCUUUAGGUUUCAUUCUUUUGAUUAUUUGUUUUUCUGGGUUUGGAUAAUUUUGCAAUUUUCUGAUACUAUUUUACCUGCAAGUAUCUCCCAUUCCUCUGAAAAUUUGAGGCUGUUUUCGUUUAUUUUGUUGAGCAUCGAAAUUGGUUAUUGAAAUUUGUUGUGUAGAAUUUGAUGUUUAGUGUUUAAGGGUUCCCCAAUAUAUGUUGGCUGAAAGGAUUCUGUAAAAAUAGCACCUGCAUAUGCAAACUAUGUAAAGGAGUUAGCUUUAUUGUUUCGGGAUUGAUAUUUUGUUUUCACGGAAGAUACUUUUGGUAAUGGACUGCUACCGCAUUUUGUGAUAUCAAUUGUAUUCAGUUUACGGGUAAGUACUGGCUGUAUAUGGGAAAUGAACUUAGCUAUGAGGGUUUUAGGUUUUGGUUUCCUUUGCUGGGGGUAUUUGAUUGUUUUAGGUACUUUGUUGAAACAUAAAUUUGGAAUUUUUAGUGUGAGGCCGGUUUAAUAUGUUAUUUUGUUUCCGGUUAUGAUUAGUGUUUCCAAGUAGAUGUGGUGAAUGGUGGUUCAGUAUAUCACUUAUAGCUCUUACUUUCAUGGUUUUGUUAAUUUGCAUCCUGAUUUCGGAUGCUGUUGGUUGUCUUACAGGUUAUGGACCAUCAGAUAGCAAAUGUCUACCUUGUUCUGGAAUUUCCAGAAGAGUAGCCUCUGUGUAUCCUUGCUCUUCUCAUUUCAAGUCGCAGGUCAGGGUUGGAUCACUAAACGGUGCUUAUGCUGGGGCGUCUUUUACGUGCAGAUCAAGUUCUAGUGGUCGUAAUAGAAAUCCAGAAUUUUCAAGGCAAAAUAGGCAAGGAUACUCCCGGGGGAGGAACAGGAGAAAUGAAGAUAGGGAUGGCUUUGAAAACCUUGAAGAAUCUGAUUUACUUUCUGCUAAAAAUGGGCCAACGCACUCCCUCCCUAGUAACACAAAAUUUGGGGCUACUGCAGCCCCUGGUCCCAGAGAAAAAGAGAUUGUUGAGUUGUUCAGGAAAGUCCAGGCUCAGCUUCGGGAGAGAACUGCUGUUAAAGAAGAAAAGAAGGUUGAACCCGUGCAAGGGCAAGGUAAAGAGAAUGAAACUGUGGAUUCUCUUCUUAAACUACUAAGGAAACAUUCAGCUGAACAGGCAAAGAGAACCAGUAAUGGGGUUGGAAACAAAGACUUUAUGUUAGACCAACCAGAGAAGAGUGACCGAUAUAGUGAAAGAAAAAACAGGGGUUCUUUGGAUUCAAAUAACAGCAUGAAGGACUAUGCUGAAGAGCCUACUGCCUCUUUGAGCAGGCCUGCAUCAAAUUUUCGACGCAAGUCUCCCAUUAAUCGAUUGACAUAUCAGCCUAUUUAUUCAGAGGAUGAUGAGAUAGUCAAUUCGGUGCAGCAUGUGAAUUCAACUGACAAAAGGAAAAAGAAUUAUGCUGAAAGAGUUUCUAAACCAGAACCAGAGCAGGAGCCUGAGCUUGACAUUGAUGUGGAGUCGGUACUUGAGGCUGAGCCUGAGCCUCUUCACGUGAACGACAUUGACUUUGAGCCUGAGCCCGAGCCUGAGCAAGAGAUUGUUCAGUUGUUAGAGGAUGAGACUUCAGGUCCUGAAGAAAAUGUUGAUGAUGAUGCUGAUGAGGAGGAGGAGGAUGAAGACAAAGAGCAACUUAUUGAACAGAGGGAUUUGAGUGCAUGUAAGCUACCAGAAUUAAGGGCACUUGCCAAGUCUCGAGGCAUGAAAGGGUUCUCAAAGAUGAAGAAGGCCGAGCUUCUGGAGUUGCUAAGUGGUGGGAGCUUGGAUUGACUCAUGAAUGCACGGGAUACUAGUUCGACAUUUGAAUACAGUUGCUACAUUUUUGAUUUGGUUUUAUCUAUUUUAGCCGCAUUUGCACUUGUUAUUAGUCUUUCACAGAAAAGUUAGUUUGUUGGGCGUUUCCAGUUUGGGGGGUUUUUUCCGGAUCAAUGGCUGGUCUGACCCCAGUGCGAAUUGGCCUGUUUUUUUGUUUUUGUUUAGUUCAGUCAUCUUAGGGAAGCUGUCAGAUUUAAUUUACCUGUAGACGAGUGAGUGAGCGCUCUAUGUAUAACUGGUGAGCUAGUUGAGUACUUGAAAUAUCAAAUUCGUAUCUGUAGUGUCUUACUCAAAAUAUAACUUGUUGGUCUCUUGCUCUCUUUAAAUAAUUUUUUUUCAAUCUUUUUCUUGUUCAUUUCUCUUAGGCCUUCCACACAGGUAUUCCGGAAACUAUGCAACUUGAGAGAAUGUAUGUUAUAGUGUUAUAUACCAUUGCAAAGCGAUAAAGGGUGUUUCUAGAUGUAUCCAGCAAAUUUCUAAAUAAACCCAGCACUUCAAAUUUUGUCACACUUUUCCUGUUUUGCCCUUAAGUCUAUUUACACCCAGCAUCUAUUUCAAAACGUUAAACCCAGAUCCUCCGAUUACUUGAGUUGUGUUUCAGUAUGAAUACAAACAUCAAGAGCAAUAAUUUAUCAGCUCUGCUUUAUUUUUUGCAAACAAUCUCUCAUGUUCUAUGCCACACAAUUAUAAUCUUGAUUUCAUAACUAACGUUUUNNNNNNNNNNNNNNNNNNNNCUCUCUCUCUCCUCCUCUCUCUCUCUCUCUAAUCACUGUUUCUACUUCUCUCUCACUCAUCUCCUCCACUCUCUCUCCUAAGCUUCCCUCCUCAACCCGUUUAUCCACUGCUCAUUUCCAACUGAGGACAAGAUUCCAAAUAAAAAAACUAUCAUUUUGACCUCCUCCUCUAAUGCCGUCGGUGAGGACGGCAAGGUAUUUCCCACACGGAACCGAGCGAGCGCGAACAGCCGACGUGCUUCUCCACCUGACGUAGUUGGACCUUACAGCAUUGACGAUCUCGGCGAGGAGGCGUUUAACUUCCCUUUUUAAAUUCAUCCUUUUAUACAAACGGGGUAAAAUGGGUAAUAAAAUUAAUGUUGGGUACAUUUAACAAUUUGCUGGGUACAUCUAGCAACACCCGCGAUAAAUCAUUUGGAAUUCCCAUGUUCACUGUCCAACAAUCAUCUCUGCAUACCAGUUUUAGGCACUUGUCAAUUUACUGAAAAUAGAGCAACACAAACUUAUAUCAUCACUGAAAUUAUGGGUGUGAUAAGUAAAUGGUCACUUAGAAUUGAGAUUAUAUUUCUUCUCUUUUGCCUUACGAUGCAAUUUCUCUUCAUUUAAUCUAGUAUUUUGGAUAUUGGGGAAGUACAAAAAUCUCAUAGAAAUAAGGUUCAACGUCUAAUAGUUGUCAAUGCAGGUAAAACACUAAAACUGAUCAAAAUUGGACCAACACCAAACUGAGUUAUGUUAAACUGUCAUAGCUUUUUACCGAGUUUUAAUUUCUAAAAAAACCGAUGAAACUAGUGUUUUUUAGUAACAAAUUCGAUGAUCGUCGAAAUUAUUUAGUACUUUUGAAUUAUCACGUGUUUAUGAUUCGAAACAACCUAUUGUUCGACUUGUUCAUUCACUUUAUUGUUUCAUAUACCCCCAACUUCAAUAAUCAUAAGAUUUGUAUUAGUCGGAACUACAGACACAUGGUAAUCCCGGACAAAAAAGGUGAUCGAAAAUCAAAUUUAGCUCACAAUUUAAUGUACAAUUUCAAUUAUCACAACCCAAGCCCAAUUCCCACCUUUACCCCUUUUUAAAAUUUUACAGAAAGAGCGAUAAGAUAAGGCAACAAAUCCACACGCACUCUCACUUCUUCCUCCUUCAACAAUGGAAGCCACUCUCGUCCUCUCCCCCUCCCCCUUAUCCCUAACCAGACCCGCCAACCCCUUCCUCUCCCUCCCGACCCGACCCGGCUCCCGUCCCUACCGCCUCCCCACCAUCCGGUCCGCCAUCUCCCGCGUCAAGAAAGAAGAGACCGUCUCCACCAUCAAAACCAACCUCGAAAACUGCUACCUCCUGGCCGGAAUCAGCUACAAAGGCCUCACCGUCAAGCAAUUCCAGGACCUCCGCAAAGCCCUACCGGACUCCACCAAGCUCAUCGUCGCCAAGAACACCCUCGUCUUCAAGGCCAUCGAGGGGACCCCCUGGGAGGCCCUCAAGCCGUGCAUGACGGGGAUGAACGCGUGGCUCUUUGUGCACAGCGAGGAGAUCCCGCCGGCGAUUAAGCCCUACCGGGAUUUCCAGAGGGAGCGGAAGCUGGAGAACGACUUCACCGGAGCGGUGUUCGAGGGGAAGUUUUACGGUCCCGGAGAUUUCAAGGCGCUGGAGACAAUGCCGACGAGGCUGGAGAUUUAUGCCAAGCUGCUUGGCUCUCUUAAAGGACCGGCCUCGAAUUUGGUGGGGACGAUUCAGGCGCCGGCCAGGGAGCUGGUCAUGACUUUGCAGGCGUAUGUGCAGAAAUUGGAGGAGGAGAGCGGGCAAUAGUAAAGAAAGAAAGAAGCUCUGUAAGUGUAUCUUGAACUUGAAGAAAUAACCAAAAUUUUAGGUUUAUUCUUUGAGUUUUUUGUGUUGUUGUAGAAUGGUUGGGCAUUUAUAUCUGUUGUGUUGAAAUUCGAGGAAUGAAGAGCUGUAGAUUUUGUAAAAUUGGAAUCUUAGCAAGCAAUGAUCUUCAUUUUUGUGGCUAUUUCUGCUUAAUUUGCUCCACUGGUGUGGUUUUUAUACUUGCCAGCAUAAUGUAUGCUUAUAUAGAAGACCCAAUGCCUAAAAAAACAGUUAUGUGUAUACAAUUACAAUCUUCAUACAUGAUAUAAUGAACACAUGAAAUCUAUUCUUGAGUUCUUAGCAUAUGCGCUAAAGCCUGCUGCUUGUGAAACAUUGGAGAUACGAGAUGUAAUUUGCAUAUCUACAUUAAUAGCAACUGUCAUGGUUCAUAUUCAUGGAAAGCAAAAUAAAUGUGUAGUAUAGUGGAACAAAUAAGCCAGGGUGAAAACUCUAAUUUCUUCUUUUGUGGUUCACGAUGAUGAUCAGUGAGGAUAUACAGUAAAGAGUGUAGGCAGCAGUGAUUUAUUUCAGAAUUUUUGGGCUAGAUAGUGGUAAUGCUAAUCCAAUAGUGCCACUUUUGCUUAUAUGACUUUGGUCCAUUUUUUUCCUGAAGUAGAUUUCUAUAUAUGUCACAUUGUCAUUGCUUUCUUAUCUAUAUGUGAUUGGAUAGGAGACGAAUAUAUUUAGGCAUGCCAUUAAACAUACCUAGGAUUUAUCAGUUCCUCAAACAAAAGAAGGGGGAAGAAAAUAAUUUGGAGGAACAUGAAAAUAUCAUAGUGAUUCAGUUUUCAAAUUGAUAUUAAGGAGAAGACUUGCACAACAUGCGUGAGGGUGAAGUUGAAUUGCCGUAAUCCUUCUGAUUACUCAUAAUAGCUCUACCGCAGUGCCCUUAAGACAUUUUCUCUGGAAGCAUGAAAAUUAAAACUAGACAAUGCCUUCUCCAGGCAGACUAAGAAAGACUGAAACAUUGCGCCUAUAUUUAACAUACAUGUCACAUGCAAUAGUUUUCUGGUUCCAUAUUCCAUCACGAGCAGGAUAAUCACGCUUCAUAUAGUUCUACUUUCUUGGGCUCCUCCACUUUGUUUCCUUUUAGCUAGAAAUUUUUGAGAUCUCUUGGAAUCAUAUGAGCAAGGUCUUGGUUCAGUGUUUUAAGAAUGUCUUGCUGAGUGACUUGUCCAGAUGUCCAAUAUGAGCAAGGUCUUGGUUCAGUGUUUUAAGAAUGUCUUGCUGAGUGACUUGUCCAGAUGUCCAACACCAGCUAAGUGGAAGGAAUUAAAAGUUCUAUGCAGAUAUUGUAAUAAACUGGUACCACUGUUAGUUCUCAACCUCUUUGAAAUUAUUAUAUACAAAUCAUUUUUCAUACAAUCUUGAUGGUUGGGAAUAUCCUAGCUUGAAGGUUUUGUAAAUGGAAAUAUGGAAUAUGUUUCAUCCUAUUUACUUGCAGAACCGAGAACAUUGCAUUGGUCUCUUUCAGCUCAACCAAAUUAUCAUACCAUUGGCUUAGUACACUCCCACAAUUGCUUCAAUUAAUUAUUUCUAUUCCUAAAUUAAGUUCAUUUUCUUGUCAAAAUCAUUGUGGGGUGAAUCUUGUUUAAUUUUGUUUCACAACAAGCAUGUUGAGCUAUUUGAUUUCAUAAUUGCAUCAUUGUGUUUGCUUCUCUGGAUAAAGUUUGAUCUUGGUUGCAGUUUUGAGUCUUUUGACACAGUGAUUGACAGAGAAGGCAAGAACCUCUCUAAACUGAUUGUUGUGCCAAAAACUUAAGCUGUUUGUUGUGACGUGGAGCAGAAACUUCAGUAUUUUUUUUUGUCUGAAAAAAAAAAAUCACCCUUUGGUUUUAUGCUUCUACAGAAAAUUUGGUAGUUAUGGAAUUCCAUAAGAGCAAUUUCUCAGGUUAAGAGCGUAUAGAUUUUGGUUUUAUUUUACUGCGGAUCCAUUUUACUCGAGUUUUUCAUGUCAUGUUGGAUUCUAGGAUUCAUGUUAUGCCUUGGCCAGUCCCUCAUGAUUGCCCAUAUCUACACUUACCAGUUAUCAAGUUAUGCCUUUCCCAGUCUCUCAUGAUCCAUGAACCUCAGUAAAUGCUGUAGUUGCAAGGACAUUCAGUACUUAAAUGCAGUCGGCACCAGUGGCAUACAAACUUCCCUGUACUGACGAGUUUCUGGGCUGUAAAACCAAUUAUAAAAAUUGCUUGUAAACUCUGCUGUUAGUACCAGUCAUCCAGAGUACAACUCUACAAGCACUGGAUGGAUGCAUGAACCAGGAAAGAUGACUACAGAAUAGACCUGUGCGAGGUGCGAUUCUGUUGGCAUUUUAGCUGGACAUUAUAAGAAAGAAACAAGAUAAUGAGACCUCAAUUGUCCCCAUGAAAAAUAGCAUUAUUGAACCUGUCACCUAUUUGGGUGGAGGUUUUGGUCAAUGGGCUAAUCAUUCAUCCUAAAAUUUUGUUUGAGAAUGGAGCUUCUGUACAAAAUAGGAAGCCAAAUGUUAUGGACUAUUAGCAAACUCUCUGUUUGUAGAUGUCACCAUUAAUUUAUCGAUCAACAGCAAAGUUGUUGCCUUCAAUAUGUUUUAGAAUGAGUGGCUUGUUAACUCCUCUUUGGAGCAAAAGCAGAUGAACUUGGACAUUAAAAGUCCUUUAUACUCUUCUUCAUGUGAGCUGUUCUGUUAGCUCAUACUCCACACUUAUGUUUCUUUCUUUCGCUUUUGAAGGUGACAUGACAAAUAAAACUCGUUCUGUGUCGAAUAAUUCAAUUACUACUGUUCUCUAAUGAAAAGAAUAUUUCGAUCUUUCGCAAGUGCAGCUCCUCAUGAUAUAGAACCUGGAAUUGACAUUUGAAGACUGCGAUGGAUAUCAGACACAGAAGAAAACCGAAGCAAUCCCACAUUGUUUAGUAGUGUGUAUUGUUAUGUUGUUACUAGCAAUAAGCUAAGAUUUUGCUUACUAAUAGGAUGAAGGAGCAAUUCCACAUCAACGACCCUACCCUCCAGUUAUGUGAAACCAAAUGCACAUGGCUUUGCUUUGCUUAACACAAGUCUGUCCUAAAAGACAGAUUUCCUCCAACUUGUUUCCUCUGUAUGCUCUAAAUCUCACCUCAACGUUUUGCACAAUGCAUGUAUGACAUUUUCUUUGUAUGCGCGCGCCGACGUUGAUGUAUGCGAGUCUCAUUUUAGCACUCAGAUCAUCAUAUGCAUGUUUAGAAGGAGGUAGGCAACACAUCCUUGUUAAUGAAAAUUUUGAAGAGAAAUGGUAAGAUGUCUGCUGAAAUGUCUCACUGUAGAAGACGUGAGUUCUUUUUAGCUAUAAUGAGGUUUAGGAUCCCUGGACAAGCUCACAAUGAAAGAAGCGGAGGACUAAAUCACAGUCGUUAAAGUCAUUGGCUUUUCUUUUCUGUAACGUUUGUUCAUCUCGAUUGCCAAAAUGGACAUAGGGGGAACCAAAUCUUUAAUUAUCAUGUCCUUCGAAAGUAGCAACAUGCCAACUGAGCGUGUACGUCAAGUGUAGUUUUGAAUUUAGAAAUCAAAUCAGAUUAUGAAAAGGGUUUUGCUUACUGUUUACUUAAAAGACAAGGAAUGACACAUUGAGCUUAAAGUAAUUACCUUGUGAUUACUGAUUUGGGAAAGCUUAAGCAAUGAUUUGUCGAAAUUCAUAUCGAAAUUAUGCAAUGCAGGUCAAUGUAGCAGAAGGGUUUCUGCAUUAGAAUUAUGCAGAAGGAAAAUAGUAUUGAUAUUUCCCUUAUUAAGAACACUCAAUUUCAAAUACUGAUGAAGACGAAAACAGUACUUGGUACAGUACUACUCCUCAGUCCUGGUCAUGAUACUGAUGGAAGACAAAGCUUUAAAAGCUUUGUCCUGAAAGAGACUCACCAUCAAAUCUUGCUUUGAAUUUAAAGGCGACCAAAGUGUGUGCAAUAAUGCAAUCUGAGCACAGUCUCAUGCGUAGAGAAUCUGGGAAUCACUUACGCCUUAAUUUACUAACUCAAAUAGUGGAGAUUGCACUGUUAGAAAGUAAAUGGUUAGUAUACAUCUUUUUUUUUUUUAGAAUAAAAUGGUUAGUAUACACCUGUGGACAUGGAUCGGUGUGAAGAUCUCAUACAUUUUCAUGCCUUGAUGCUUUAAGAAAAGUGUUUUAUAAUGCUCCGGAGCAUUGAAACUUGAGAGGCAUUGGUCAUUGGAUUAGCUCAUUUUGUUGGGUACGUACACCGCAUACAUUGACUAAUAUAAUGGCUCUUACGAUAUCAAUUCAGUAUUCUGAUAUAUGGAACUGCUUAGGGAAAUCUGUGAAAAUGUUUACAUUUUUAACAGUUUCAUAUAAUCAUACAAGGAUGAUCACUUACCAUUUAUGAAGCAGCACAGAGGCAGGCCAGUACAUCAGUAUUCCUAUAGCAGAGUUGCUGCAAUGAAAACCACCACACACAACUUGUUGCCUAUCAUUGUUUCACAUGUAUCUGAGACAAAAUCUCUUGCUUUAAUUAGCAACAAUAGUACCAUGCCAGCGGCAAAGAGUUGGGACACAGAAAUACUGGUGAAAAAUGCAAGAGUUGGUUCCCAGAUUUCAAAUAGCAUUUACCCUUUUCUUUCAGUGGUGUCAAAUAGCAUAUGGACUACCCUUUUCUUCUAUCACAUCAGUGGUUAUGUCAAUUUUUCUUAAACACUAAUCAGCUUAUCAUCAAAGAGUAAACAAACAAACAAACUGCUUAGGUGUAUAGUUUGGUUGGGCAGCUAUGUUGUUUAUGUUUUCUAGCUUGGAGAAGGAGAAGAGUGAAGUAGGCAUGGCAGCAACAUAUAAAAGGGUGCAAUUUUAUCUUAUGCUUAACGUUGAGCCUUAAAAGAGGAUAUUAUUCUAAAAAGCAUUAGCCUUUUAGUAAAUGGAAUCUUAAGCAUUUUAUCGGUGUGGAGUAGGUAGCAUGUAAAUCAAGUUAUCAUUUGUUUAAAACUGUAUAUGAAUCAUAAUCCGCAGAAAAGCCUUUAUAGAUUUUCUUAAGUGAUGAUAAUGGUAGGUAUCAAGUUCAUUAAGCUUAAUUUUUGCCAACCGUGCAUUUGUUUGGAUCUUCAAUAAUCUGAGGUCCUCCAGCUCCCAGGAAUAUGCAUAUAUUUUUCUGAUCACCCUUUGUUAGCAUAAUUUGCUUCAUAAUUUUCUGAAUUAAAUGACAUAAUACAUGUUAAACCUUUAUAAUUGUCUAUCCAUUAGUCUAAUCAUUUAAAAUUGACAUACAUUAUCGUAGUAUGCCCCUGCUUUUAUGAAUUUUAACAUUUUUUCAUCCAAAUGCCAAUCAUAUUUUACUUACACGCGUCUUUAUCAUAAUUUUAGUUUUUUUAGUUAAAUAAGAAUUAUUCGUAACUUCUCUGACGUGCAUAAGACACAACAUGUUGUCACGUUAAAUCUCACACACAUAAGAUAUUGCAAGUUGUCAUACUAAAAUUUUACGUCAAGAGUAAUGCAAAAAAUGCAUGAACAGUUUCUAUGAUUGACUUAACAUUAUGAUAUUGAUCUCAUACUACUAAUUAGAGCCGGAAAUGUCUGCAAAAUACACAGUUAAUGUAAGUUAUUUACUACACACGGUUGACAACCAACCCUUUUGGAAGGACUACAAACCUAGUCACCCACUCACCCUAACACAUAUUUAACUUUAUAAUCACAUGAGGUGAUGUUAUCUCACAUUUUCAACCUUCAUUUGUAAAGUUAGAUUAUGGGAGGAACCGAGGGAAGAUUGAACUUUGAUGAUAUUGAAGUGGCGGCUCUUCUUAUACCUUACGCAUAUUGCAAAAUGCAAAGGCUAUGUCUUUAUCAAAUUUCAUUUUUUUUUUGUUUAGAUUGUUUCAAGUGUUAAGAAUAAAUAUUUAUUUAUUUCAGCAUAAUUAUCCUAUUAAAAAAAAAAAAAAAAUUACCUUGUUCUAGGAUAUUCUUUAUGUGUGCCUUGGCCUUAUGCCAAUAGAAUAUGUAGUUAGACUAGAUCUAUGUAUUCAUAUCCUUACCAUAUUGGUAUUGUGUAAUUUCCUAUAUAAAGGGCUCCUAUCAAUGAAUAAGAUGAUGAUUCUCUUGCUAUCUCUUUGUCUCUACACUUUAUCCUUCAUCACGUUAUCAUGCACUUUGUUCUAACCCUAGAGCCAAUAGCCCACCAUUUUUUUCUAAACCCUAAAAUCGGGCAGCCUUGUUUUUCUCGAUUUCCGACCAAAAUUCCGACUGUCCUCCACCGGAAUUUUAUAUCCCUAGAAAGCUCUCUCCGUCCCGGAUCCAACGCCUCCGGUCUCACCCUGAGAACCGGCCGGAAAGUCUCCGAACCGGCCGCCGGAAGAUUCCAGACCGCCGCCGCUACCAACCACCGGUUCACCACCUUCCCUUGCUCCGAUCAACCUGAAAUUUUGACAGCAGCUUCCCCAUCCAGAGCUGCUCCUCCUUUCAAAUUUUCAGCCCCAAAUUCGAAGUAUAAGUAGGCGAAACGUUAUUUCUCCUCUCGGCAGCCUCUAGAAAGGUAUGUUUUUUGAAACCUUAAACUUUUCCAAGUUCAAUAACUCGGGGAGGAUAAAAUCCUUUCCUCCCUUCUCCAUCUCCAUUCUAUGCUUGGGAUUUUGUGCGUGCAGGUACCCAAAUCCCGGAAUUUUAUUCGCGGGUCAAGAGUGUGUUUGAUCACUCUUGUUUCUUUGUCCGGGUUGUGUUUGAUCAACCCCGACCUUUCACCGGAUUGUGUUUGAUCAAUCCGAGGCCUUUUUCCGAAUUGUGUUUGAUCAAUUCGCGGCUUUUCCGGAUUGUGUAUGAUCAAUCCGAAGGACAAACCAUUAAAAGCAUCGUUUGUGACCUUUAUUGAGUCUCAUAACAGCUUGUUUUGUAUGCAAGAGCAAUGUAACAUUCUGCUCCUUUGAGUUUUGACAUACUAGAUGCCUAAGACAGAUCUUCGCUUGGUAUCUGUGGAACCUUUCAUUGGAAAGGAUUAAACCACAUGUUUUGACCCCCAGGCUAACAAGCCUAGAUGCCGAGAUUUCACAUCUCAUGCGCUCAAAGUCUUUGACGCGCCACAUCGACAAAAGCCUUCAAUGGCAAUCUGUGCAAAAAGUAAUGACCACAAGUACUGUGGAAUGCACUCAUGGAGCGUUUCUCGAAACGUUCAUAUAACUCUACUUGUUGAGUUAUUAGUCAAGUGGAUUGCUUACCACCUUAAUUGACUACAUAUUGUCGAUGAUCUUUUGUGGCAUCAUGAUCCAUAAUCUUUAGCGGAUUCGAUCAUCAUCAAGUUCUCUAGGUCCUCCAAGUUGGUGUGGAAUUACCAACGAGACUUGAUUUUGAUCAUACAAACAGGAAUUGUAUAUACGCUAAUGUGAUAAACUUAUUUGGGAUUAUCCCCUAAUGUGGGGACAACAAUAUGGGUCAUGGCAACGGCAGAAAACGUCGUGCUGAUGUCUAGAAAAGAGGGGGAGGUGUUGCCGGCUCUAACAACGACACUCCCGGUCUAGACACCAUUUUGUCAAAACUACUCACGUCAGCUCAUGACAUUAAUGCAACCGUUGUGGAUCUUCGGAUCACUGGUUCAAGAUUGUCAAGCUCAUUUAAAUUGUGAAUGCAUACAAAAAGGUAUGGAAAAUCAAUAUGAGGACAAGAACGUCAUCCUCAUGAUCGCGAAUUUCAAAGAUUCGGAUCCUGCUCUAGCUACCCAUGACUUUGAUGUCAUCGGCUAGACAUUGAUUUUCGUUACAAGUUAUAUGUACUAAGGCGUUGUAUCGACGUCCUUUGUCUAUUUGAGACCUCGAUGUACUCACAUUAGCAACAAUGAAUGCCUUGAGGAUUUUUCAAAGUGAAACUAUUCUCCUCUUAUGGUUCAUAUUGAUUUACAAUCAAGAUGUACACUUACAUCGUCUUUAGAAACAUGACAUAUUGUGCCAAUUUUGGUCCCUUCCUUUGAAGGUGACUCAUGGCACUGCAUCCUCAAGGAGGAUCGCCCACGUGUUUCCGGUUAAGUCUUCUACCCUAUAGCGAAUUUUUUAUCAUCAAUUGUUCAACUAGGCUCAUCCAAGCUCAGUGUGAUGUCUUAGAAUUGUCUAAAAUUAAGGAGAUAAUGGUUUUAAGUGUGCCUCGCACUACCGACCCUCCACGGACAUGCCUGGUCAUACUGACUUGGAGUUACCGAAAGCUUUUGAUUUUGGAUCCCCCUACGCUAUUAAACCAAUUGCCGUCUUGCAAAAGACGUUGAAGACUUAUCAAAGCUGGAAAAUUAUCAUCAUAAUCGGAUCUUCUAGGUCCUCUGAGUUAGUUUAUGUUCAUGUCAGGGAGCUUUUGCUAACUAGUCAUGGAGUUUACGACCUUAGAACGAUCGAAAGGACUUGGUUUUGAUCAUACACAGGUCACUUUUGGCUAAGGCAAAAGCCUACACGCCACCUGCAAGCUUCACAGCUUCGCACAUGCCAAAUCUGCGAAAAACAGCAAUCUGUCCCUUCUGGACAGUCAACUUCGUUUGAGCUUUGUGAACAGCUCCGGACGAACCAGACAGUGAGCUUUAUAUCAUUGGAAAGCUCUAUGAGUCUAGUUUUCAGAAAUUUUCAUGGUUCGUCCGUAUCUAUUUUAACUAAAAAGUUAUGGCUGUUUUAGUGCGCAAAGGUCAUUCUACGCGGAAAUUUUUAUGCACUCUCGGGAUUGUAACUUUUCGUAGCUUCUUUCAAUCCUUCUAAAUGGUUCAAGUAGAACUAUUUACUCGUCCAUCUACUCCUUGUAGUUAUGUCUCAUAGAGACAUUGAGUGCUUCGCAGAUAGUGGAACUAUCCACAACAUUCUAAGGAACCAUGUUGAGCUUUAAAGACAUUCAUGCUAAUGGUUUUCAUUUGAAAACACAUUGUGAGAAUGAACAAGAAUUCUUUUGUGUAUACCUCCUCAUGAAUGCGAACUGAAACGCAUCUUGGAGAAAUUCAUGAGUCAAUCUAGUGAACUGUAUGUUACUACGAUUCGAAUAUCGAAUCCCAUGUUGUCGCCAAACAUGAUAUUUGGGACACCGACUCAUAUAAGCUUUGGUUUGACCAAAUUGGUCAACCUGGAAGAGAUAUAAUGGUCCAAAUUUUGAGAAAUUCUCAUGGACAUCCAUUCUUCCGCUCAAAACGAAGACAUUUGAGAUCUAGUAUCACCAUGAAGCAUGGUGGUGACCCUUGGGACAUUGACGUCACCCGAACACGACUCCAACUUCCUGGAGGUCGUCCGAUCAAUUCCUCAAGCAAUUGAGGUGCACCGGCCUUUCCUCGAUGUCGCAUUGGCCCCCUGCAAUGCUCAUUGCUUGUUUUGAAAGCCUAUUCUUUAGCUAAAUAAGGAGUGAGACCCUCCUACGCUAAAUAACACAAAAGUGAACAUUCUAUUCUUACAUCAAACUAUGUAGAUAGAUACAACCAGCUUGCGGACACCUUUUUAUGCUUUAUGGUGUUGGUUGACGUGUUAACACAUUGGUCACGUGUUACACUAUUAUCUACUGCUUAUACUGCUUAUACUGCUUGUACUUCUACGGGCUCACUACCCAUUCUUUAAAGAAAUUCAUAGGGAUGUAAGUUGAAGUGUCCUGUACCCCAUGUUCACAUGCAAUACGGUCUCACCGAGGCUACGACCAAGCAACUUUAGCUUGUCGCUCGAACAUUAUUGAUGCGCACCACUCUUUCUAUUGCGUCUUGGGGCUAUGCAAUAUUUGCAUGCAGUUUUACUAUUCAUCUACGACCCACCAUCAUUGAAUUUUGUUGUACUACAGCUCGUGACUGUGUACUAGGAUUGACACGAAAUUGCAAUCAUUGAGCUCGGCAGGAUUGAAACGGAUCUCCAAUCCUUGAGCUCGGCUAGAUGUUAUUUCUAGGUGCCAAAUCGCAUUGCCACUGCGUACAAUGAUGAGUCAUUUGAGAUGAAUAAGUUUAGGCUGGAUAUGAACCUCCACCUAUAAUCCGCAUAUGUAGGAACCUUGUCAGGCGAUCUCAUUCACCGCUAAAUUGCGGAUUGUCACUUUGAUGAGACAAUAUUCCCGCCGUUAGGGGGAGAUAAGAACACAAGUGUUCAAGUGGAACGACGUGAAUUGUCGUGGUUUGUCCCCACUAAGUCUCAUCUUGAUCCCAAAUGCUUAUAGUGUUAAAGUGACGAGAUCACAUGCUGCAAAUAUGUCUGCAAGGAUUGAUGUCCUACAAAAGGACAUGGCGCGACCAAAAAGUGUUGGUCUUGACGCCAUCACCAUGGAUGGUN